rnacentral:lncRNA from 1 species
AUCAUGUAAUCAGCAGAAGUUCUCUAGGUUUCACACUUUAAGAAUAUUAAAUUUGUUAAAACUUCUAUUUUUGGCAUACAAAUGCAUCAAUUGCUACAUAUGUACAUAAAAAAAUGUACCAAAUACAUGAUCAAUUGUUAUCUUCAGCAAGCAUUAUAGUCUUGAAGGGUAAACUUCAUAAAAGAUACUCAAAUCAUUAAAUUAUUGUGAUGGGCUGCUAGGACAUCAGUUCACUAAUUGCUUGUUGAAUAGGGUUGCAUAACCCCAUAACUACAUUCAAAGUCAUUAUUCAACACCUCACACCAUGAGUUAUCCAUCAAAUCCCUAAUUGUGUGUUGAACCCGUCAUAUGUAUAUAGCCCCAUAAACAACUUCAUCGCCAAUAGCAGAAAUCUCCAAGAACCAACUUUGAGUCUGGAAAGUUUGCAUCCAGAUUGAAAUGUAGGGGAAAAGUGAUUUUAGAAAGAAAUCAACUCACAUAAGUCAAACUUGUAUACAGUUGGUGCAAAUAUCAACAAACUGCCAUACUUUAACCAACUAACUAAUCUCCAGAAAUAACAGUAGACUGGAAACCUCAACCUGACAAAACAUUUGGAUGCAGAAUGGAAGACUAGAUAUAUCUAAAAAAUCAGUAUGGACCCAAAAAAGGAAACUAAAUAUUACAAUAUAUAUUAAGUGCCAAAAAUUACAACUAAAUAUUACAAUAUAUACAAAGGGCUGAAGACAUGAUAAUGACAAGCAAUUUCAAGAACAAUGUUCAGAAGAGCACAAAAUUUAUACAUACACAACGAGUUACAGAUGCAAAGUAAAACCAUACCGAAGCAUGAGAUGAGAGAGUGAUGCUGAGAAGAUGUAAUCGAUCUUUUGCCAUCAUAAUCUGGAGAAGAGGGAAAAAAAUAGCAUCCAGGCUCAAAAAGAAACUUCUGAACAAGAAAGAAUUAAAGGAUACAAAUAAUGUACCUUAGGUUGGUUACUGUACCCAUGCCUAUUCUGAAUUCCCAAUUCACGGGAUAAUUGCAUAGAACCAGCAAGGGCCAUCCUUAAGAAAAAGCAAAGAUACCUCUAGUGGCACAAUAUCAUAAUGCACUUCAACACUGCUUAUUCUUGGACAACACCAAUCAUUUAAUGCAGAAAGGGCGUAGAUCCCACAGGUUCCCAAACUACUGCACGAUCAAGGCACCAGGCCACAUGAACUUUAAUUCAGUAAACAGAAAGGAAGAUAAAAAUGUACCCAGCAACUACAAACAAACUUCCUGAACUCUUUAAAACAACAAUUGAUUUAUAACUAUUACACAGUGAAGUAGUUUAAUUGGACAGAAUCAAAUUGAAGAAACCUUCACACAAGUUAACAAAAUAUUUGGCCAAGAAAAUCCCCACUCCCCGCGCGCCCCCCGCCCCCCCCCCCAAUCAAAUAUUCCUCCAUACUAAAUAUUUAGUUAUGAAAUCAGUUUCUUUCCAGGAAAGAAGUCCGCUGACAAUGACAAAGCUACAACUGGAUGAUUUACCUUUGUCACAAGAUCGAACUCCAAGAUUAGUCCCAAUAAGGAUAGUAUAUCGUACAGAUUAUGCAGCCUCUAUCCUAGAUGGAAAUGAUCCUCCUAAAACCCAGAAGAUUUUUAAAAUAAGUGGCUCAAACUACAAGUUUUUGGAAUUUAAGACCGAACUUUUCACCCAUUAAGUCCUCACGCUAAAACUGUAGACAACUUGCAAUUUAAGAUGAAAACUGAAAUCCCUCACGUCUCGUGCUAGAACUGUAGACAAUUCAAAAUAAAAGCAAACUUAGGUUUGUCCUACCACUAGGUUCCAAGAAACGAAAAAGAAAAAAAGAAAAGAAAAAGGAAAUUCAACAAAAAUCGGCGGAAUAAUGGUAAGACUUGGCUCAGUUGACUCUUCUAGGGAGGCGAAAAAUACUAAGUUCCAAUUAUCCUUUCUCUUUACCUUCUCUUUUUCCAAGCAGUUCCUCAGACAUCAAUCAAACUCAAAAACCCUAGAUUCCAAAAUGCCUAACAAAUAAUCACAUCUACCAAUUAUUAAUUGCCAAAAUAUCCAAUCAUACCUUUCUUGGGAACCAAAACAGAAGAUAAUUACCAGAUUUCACCUCCUCAAAAUGGAAGAAGGGUUUCAGUUUCAGGUAGAACUUCAGAGAAAGUUAGGAAGACGGUCGAUGAUAACAUGCGCCGGGAGUUUCUGUUCUCAGUUGUCAAAUCUAAAUUCAAUGUUCCGUAUGUAGGAUAGUUAUACUGUGCUAUUUACGUGGCGACUCCAGAGCGUGAUUCUAUCUUUUUUUUUCCAUUGUUUUUAAUCUACUUUCCGCUUCAUCGAGACGCGGCGUUUCGCAUUAAGAACGGUGCCGUCGGUUAAAGAAUGUUGACGUGUCAACUGGGCCUUCCAUUCACGCGCACCGCUGGCAGGUUAAAAUGGGGGUGAAUCGCACAAAAAACGGUAAACACAACUCAACACGGCGUCUUUGUGUCGGUAUCCAAGGAGGCUUUGUGGAACACGUGUACAGUGGCUGGUUGCGGUGAUCCAACGGGUGAUGGAUAGCGGAAUUUGUCUUGAAAUAUCUUUGCAGUGUUUGUGAAGCUUCGGACAUGGUGUUCCUACCGUUGGGAAAGCGACGUUCAUGGUUUCGGAUAAGCUUACGUGUUAUUUGAUUAAUAAAUUAAUAAUUUUGGGACCACGAACGAUGAAUGGUUUAAUUAAAGAGGUAAGUAGAGCCCAAUGUUACCUGGGCCGAGUUUUGGAAGCCCACGUCGACCCCAAUGUUGCGUGUCGUUUAUCUGGUUGACAGGUAGAAGCGUGCGUUGUUAGAUGAGCACGUGUAUCUAUCAGUGCUUGGUUAAAGAGGGCGAUGUUAGGCCGUCGUGGUAGCAAAAUUAAUCAUGAUGCUUAUUAGAGAGAAAAAAAAAUACUUCAUAUCUCAUUAAUGUUUCACCUUUAUUGGGCUAAGCUCUUAAUGUUUCAUCAUAUCGGGAAAAGUUUACGUUUGAUUGAUAGAAUAAAAUAUGAAAAAUUAUAUAUUUCAUGAUAUAUGUAUAUUUUAAAAUAUGAUUUACAAUAUAAUAUCUUAAGAUAUAAUAUUUUUAAAUACACAUAUAGUAUAAAUAUGAUAUUUCAAGGUAACAUACUAAUUAAAUAUAUUAUAUUAUAUUUAUAUUUAAUUUAUGAAAUAAAUAAAAAAUAUAUAUUAUUUUCAAUAUUAAAAAUAAAAUUAUAUUAGAUUCAAAUAUUUUCUAUAUAAAAAAAUUGUUAUAUUUAAUGAUAUUUAUUAUUAAAAUAUUUAAAUUUUAUAAAUAAAUUUUUUUAUAUUAUGUUAUUUAAUAUAUAAAAAUAAUUUAUAUAUCACAUAUUAAUAUUAUUUUAUAAAUAUUUUCUUUUUAGUUUUUCUUUUUUAUCAUAAAUUUAAUUUAUAAUAAAAACUUUACUUAUAAAAUAAGUAUAUUAAAAAAUAAAAAAUAAAUUUUUGAUAUACACAUAUCUUAUAUCUUAUCAUGAUAUUAGCAUAUCUCAUAUGAAAAGAAUAAAAAAAUUAUAAAAAAUAAAUAUUUUAUUGUCUCAUAAAAUAUAUAAAAUUUUAGUGAAUGAAAUUAUUUUUUCAAAAUUUUAAGGAAAAUUUUAAAACCACAUAAUUGAAUGUCAUUUUAAGGAUAAUAUGAAUAUUUUACAGUAAUUGAUUGUGGUUUUAAUGUUAUUAGGCGUGGUUUGUAAAGGAAAAUUUAAUUGUGGUUUUAAGAAAAAUUUAAAAUAAAAAAACGCCAUGUGGAUAAUUGCGUGGUUUUGGUAGAUAUUUUAGGUGGGAACUACUUCCAUUAUUUUUUUCUUUAAAAGCCCUAUUUUGGCCAUGCUUAGCAUGCGGAAGAGAGGGGGUGUCCAUCUCAUCAUAUUAAACGCCUUACCACUUGCCAGCCGACUUCUCAAGGUCUACACGUGCCCCCAUUUGGACAUGCAUCGUACGUCCCCACAAUUCCCCCAUUUGAUAGGUGCAGUACCCUGAUUGCUCCCAUCUAGAAUUUUGGGCAUUGCAUUUUUUCUUCCUCUACAUUUCCUAUCUUCGCCCUCUUCCCUGCUCUUGUGAUUCAGCUUCUUUUGUUCUCUUUAUCCCUCCGCUCAUCUCUUUGGUUUAAGGUAACUGCCAUGGUUGAUGAUGACGGACGUUGUCGCGCUGGUCCAUUAGUUAAAGAUCCCUACUCCUGUUGAGGUUGUGAGUCUUUUCUGCAGGGACCAGUUGCGGCGCUCACACACCCACACCAACGAGGGUUACAUCCUAGUGGAGCACCUAAAGCUUCCUGGCCUCUUCCUCCCCUUUUGAGGCAUCUUUUUAGUUUUGUGAAGGUGUCACUGCAUUGGUUCAAUCCCAACUCGUUAGGACCCAUAAUACAAUGCAAUGUGUCUAUAGUGUACAGGGCCACGACAGCAUCUAGUUGUUCAGUAUCAGAGCUGUGGUUCUUAGUUUAUUGACCAAAUAUUGGGUAACUUCUAAUGAACCUCCCCAGCAAUAAUAUUGACCUCCCUUGAGGUUUUUGGCUUAACAGUAAGUAAGAAUUAGUUGUCAUGGAACGGUAGGGAGGUAAGUGGCAUUCCAGAAACUUCAAGGGAGGUUUUCAUUAUCCUGUGUAAUUUGCCCUAAUGAAUUAUGGCACAAUAGAAAGACACAUUUUAGCAGUCACAUUCUAAACUUAGAGAUUAAAUGAUAUAUUGAUACAUAUCACCAUGUGGGACACCAAACUUGCAAGAACCUGAAGACUUUAAGAUCAAACAUGGCAUUGUCAGGCUCUGACUAAAAGACUUAAGACUUAUUUAUAGGACUCCAAACCUUGACAAAAUCAAUUCAUAAUUGCAGAAUAAGAGCUCCUAAUAUAAAACAAAUUAUCAAAUCAUAAUCAAUGUGGGACAAAGAUUCCUAAAAUAAAUCAAACUCUUGAUUGAGCCAAAAACCAACAUUGUUAUCUCUGUUGCUAGGAUUAAGAUAGAGCUACCUGCAUGAUUUAUCAUGUUUAUAUCAUAAAGCCACCUUUUAAAACAGAGCUUCAAGCAUUUAGGAUGAGAUCAAAGUUGAUGACAAACCUGAGCUCAACUAGAAUUAAUAAUGUAAGUUUCACUAACCUCCCUUGAGAUUUAAGUCAAAUACACUUGCCGGUCAUGAAUUUAAAAUUUCAUUGAAUACAUCUCUUAUUUUGAAUGAGGAGAUGUGAAUGAAAAUAACAAAUAAGAAGAGUAAGGAAUGUCUUUUAUGAAAUUUUAAAUUCAUAGUGCCUCAAUAUAUUUAACCAAAAGUCAAGGGAAGUGAGCAAAAUUAACCAUAAUAAACGAUCAACCCGAAUCCAAGUUAGUCCAACCUUUAACCUUAAAUACAACUCAAGCCCAAAACUACCAUAUUUUUUUAAGAUUAAGCUGAUCAGAUUAGACUAAGGAUUGAUACAGUUAUAUGAUUCAAAAUCCACCCACGUGUUUUUUUUUUUUAUUUUCUUUAUAUGUUUAUAAAAAAUUGAAUUAGUAAAUGGAUAACAUUGCAAGAAAUAACAAAUAGAAAAAAUAAAUUUAUGUAACCUUGUAAAAAAAAAAAAAGAAGAAGUGAUAAUUAUAAUUUGAUAUUUUUCCUUAAAGAUCUAAAUAAAUAAAUAAAUUAAAUAUUAUCAUAUAAGAUAAUAAUAUAAGUUAUAAAUAUUAUAAAAAUAUUAAAUUGAGUUCGGGUUAGGUUUAAAUUAUUCAAACCUUUGCCCAAACCUGACUUGAACUAAAGUUUGGAUUGAAAAAAAAUUUAACCCAAACCCAACCCAAGUAUUAAGAAUGAUUAUCCAAGUCCGCCUAGUUUUGCAUGGUGUAAAACCAAAGAACAUGUUAUCACCUUUCUACAUCCCGCUGACAACUCGAUGUUGCGCUAGGAGCUGAAAUGGUGUCAAACCAAUGAACAUAUGAUCACUUUUCUACAUCCCGCUGACAGCUUGAUAUUGCACCCGUAGCUGCUGAUAUCUUUUUUCUUUCUUAUCCUUGCCACUGGGGGCUGAAACAUUACCAUUCCAGCAGGCAGCCAAUUCUUUUGACUCUCGGUGCUAGGACACAACCCUUUCUUCUUCCUCAAUUGAGCCUUCAAGAGCUACACCAAGAAUAAUGUUUUCUAAGGCAGGGGUGGCUAUUGAUACUGUUAUCUCCAUCUUGCUUUGCCAGUGAAGUUGCAGAAGGAAGAAUAUCUGCUUUUCUAGUGCCAGAUUCUGGGAAGUUCAGAGAGGGAUUCUCAAAAGCUGAUCCACCUUGGUUUUUGUCCUCAGGAAUCAGUCCCACUGUCUCCUCCCUCACCUUUUCCAUGCCUACCUCAGACCGCUGUUUUUCAUAGUUAUUUGGGGUUGAACCAUCAGUCACCAUAUUUUCGAUUUUGUCAGAUAUUGAUGUUUCUGAAACCUUGUAGUUUGGAGUUGGUGAUUGAUGUUGCUGCAAUGUUGUCAGCUAUUGUGGAGUCACUAUUUGAUGACGCUCCAGCCUUGGAACCUGGCUUCGAAUCAGAUUUUGUGUUUGCUUUAAUCUUGGCAUCCUUUUCUAGAAUUGACGAUGCCCCAGCCUUGGAACCUGGCUUCAAAUCAGAUUUAGGCCUUGCUUCAAUUUUUGCAACCUUUUCUUUGUUCCGGCGUGCUGAACCUGUGGAAGCCUUCAUUUUAUCAUCACCGUUCAUUUUAUAAGAGGGCUCAAUCUGCAGGAGUGGACGGUUAGCAGCUGCUUGGGAGCGGGUGAAUAUGGGGUCAGCAAAUGGAAUAUUUUCCAUUUCCAUGUCAGCCACACCGUAUUCUUUCUGAACUGUACGAAUGGGUGUUGCAAGGCGAGCUUGAUGAUGGCUGACAACUCUGAGGAGAUCCAAGAGUAUUGCUUCCUGAUUCAUCAAACAAUGAUUGAUCUUAUGCAAUCUUUCCAGUUACUAACAGAAUAUAGCAAGAGAAAUAAUAUAAAAAAACCAACACUGAGGAAAAUAACAGUAAUGCAUACUGACGAACACAUCCAUUAUAAUGUGUCAUCAGUAAAAGAGCUAUGUGAGGAACACACAAGUCUUAAGGCAUAUCCAUUAUAAUGUAUCAUCAGUAAAAGAGCUAUGUGAGGAACACACCAGUCUUAAGACCUCACAGGAUCUUUGAAUCAAUCUCUAUCAUCAAUUUUUCCAAUUCCUAGUGGAGCCUCCAGGAAAUUCAGUUGGGUGCUCUUAAAAAAAUAUCAAAAUUUUGGUUGCUGACUCAAGAUUUCACAUCUCCAGUAAAAGCAAAUGAAUGAUCGGACAAACCCCCAGCAUCCUAUUCUGACUCAUCAGGUAUGUAUUACAGUAGCAUAACAAAAGAACAAAAAAGUAUGAACAUCCACAUAAAUGGGAUAUUGAACAAAACCCAUUAAGACUGUGUUGUGUCUGGAUAAGAUGAUAGAACUGAUUAUCAUAGUAACCAAUGGCUACUGAGGAAUGGAUCAGGAUUACAUUUACAACUCUUGGUUACUUCACAUCUCUAAGAAAGCAUUUCAAAAUCUAGAAUGUUGCCAAACCUCCAUCCCUCAAACCCAAUCCACCCGUAACAAGAUUCAGAUUCAGAUUAGUGGAAUCAGGUUUACUUGAAAAUUAAUGUAUUGUCAUGGAGAUACUCUAGAAUUAUAAUCCCUACUAUGAAGAUGAUCCUGUUUGAGUGCUAGAAAGUUUAAACUUAUGUUUGGUUCCCAGAAAAUUUGAGGGAAAAUAGAUAGGAAAAGUAAAUAAAUAAAUAAUUAAUUAAAAUCAAUAAAUCAUUUUUAUAUGCUACUUCAAACUUAUUUAAUUUAUUUUAACUCUUUGUAUAAAAUUAAAUAAUUUAAAAAUAUAUAAGUUUAUCACUAAUUUUGAUUAUAUUUUAUUUUAUUUCAUAUUUUUCAUAAAAAAAAUCAUGUUUCUUUCCUUGGUACCUUAGCAUAAAGGCUCACAAAGUAGCAAAUGGUUCAAUUGGGAUGGGGAUUAAAUUUACAACUCAUGAUCACUCACACAUUUCUAAGAAAACUUCUCACCAGAAUGUUGCAAAACCUCCAAUCCACCCAAGAAAAGAGACAUAGAUUCAGAUUAGCGACUCGAAUCAGAUUUACUUGAAAACUAAUACAUUUACACGAGGUAUUCUAACAUUAUAAUCAUCAAUAUGCAGAUAAUCAACAAUGGUUCAAUUUGGAUUCAGAAAUAAAUACUAUUUUGCAACAUAAAAGCUCACAGCUGCAUACAUGUAUGAAGCAUAUACUCAAUGAUAUCUGAUUAUAAUGAACUGCACUUACCUUGACACACAGGUACUCUUCAAUACGUGAGGUUUUCACAAAGCAAGAUACCAAGAUCUGUAACAAAAGAAGGACUAAUUAACAGAUAUUGAUAUUGGAAAAAGCCUACUACAACCUGUUGUUCUAUUUCUAGCACUUUAGAAAGAUAACUGAGGUCAAAGCAAGUAAAUGGUGAACUGAAGUGAUGGUUGAAGUUGGCCAAACAGAUGCCUAAAAGACACUACCGGCCUUUAAAUGCUGAGGUAGAACUUUAGCUAAUAUAUGAAUGUGAGAGAUCAAGAGUAUAUCUUUAUAUAUGUUGGAAAGUGUCUCAUAUUCUAUUUUGAGUGGAUUUGAAAGUUGUUGAUAUUUUCCUAAUAGGAUAUAUUCAUAUAAGGGACUUUCCUAUUAUUAUAAAGCAAACAUCCUAUUGUGAGAUCCUCUUUUAGGAAUCGACAAUCACAUAAUAAGUUUCUUAUGUGGAAUAUUUCUAUGUAAUUAUGAAUAUAUAUAAGAUAUUUUAAUUGAAAGAGAUAGUCUCUUUUUGGGUGGAAUUGGGACCUUAGGAUUUGAGAGCUUUAAGAUUGUAGUCUAAUUAAACAAUAGUGAAAGUUCUUCUUUGUCUUUGCCUGUGGAUGUAAGCUUUAGGUUGAAUCAUGUAAAUCGUUGUAUACUUUGUGCAUCUUCUAUUUUUGUUAUUUUAUUUUCUUCUUUCUAUUAUUAUUCUUUAUUGUUAUUUUCACAAAAAAAAUCUGGAAUCAAAGCUUAACUUGUUAAACUUGGAAUGACGACAAAGUUUUUGGUUAAGAAGUCUGAUGAAAGAAACAAUUUCAAUUUAUGGUACACUAAGAUGUAUGUCUUGUUGGCUCAGCAAGAGCUGUCCAAAGCACUAAAAAAUAGAGAUACUCUACCAACAACAAUGUCUAAUGUAGAUAAGAAUGAACUUAUAAGGAGAGGGCACAAUGUUAUUUUAUUGUGCUUGGGUAAUGAGGUAGUUCAUGAGGUUAUAGAAGAUAAUAUAAUUGUCAAGUUAUGGUUGAAGCUAGUAAGUUUGUAUACGACCAAACCUCUUACAAAUUGCUUGUGUAUUUGAAGAAGCGGUUGUUCAAUCUUAAGAUGAAAGAAGGUAAAUCCAUUAAAGACCACCUUGAUGAGUUCAAUAAAACUACUAUGGAUUUGAAGAAUAUUGAUGUUAGAAUUGAUGAUAAAGGCCAAACUAUAAUUUUGAUAUGCACCAUACCAAAUUCUUAUGAGCAUAUUGUGGAUACCAUAAAGUAUAGUAGAGAUGCUCUCUUGAUAGAAGAUGUUAAGGUAGCCUUGAACUUAAAGAAAUUGAAGAAAAUGGUGUCUGGGAGUAAAGAAGAAAGCUCAAUUGAAGGUUUAGUGGCUAGAGGGAGAACAACAAAGGACGAUCUAGAUUUAAAUCAAAGUCUAAGGAAAACAACAAGUGUUUCAAUUACAACAAAGUAGGACACUAAGUGAGAAAUUGUGCAGAACGUAAAGGGAAAGAAGCUUCUAAUUCCGGCGAUACAACAGUUGUACAGAUACCGCAGAUGUUGUUUCAAUUACUAGUAGUAACUCAAGAUGAUGAGUGGAACCUUGAUUCAGGAUGCUCUUAUCAUGUCUCCCAAUAGGGAUUAAUUUAAUAUCUAUCAACUGAUGAUGGGAAGAUUCUUAUGGGAAACAAUGUAGGAUGUUAGGUUGUUAAGAUAGACAAUUUGAAUUAAAAUGUAUGAUGGAAUUAUAAGAAUAUUAAUUGAUGUAAAGCAUGCUCCAGAGCUGUAAAAAAAUUGAUUUCUUACUCCAAUGGAUGCACAUAUAAAGUUGGAGGUGGAGUUAUGAGAAUCUCAAAGGGUGCUCUUGUUGUGAUGAAAUGGUAAAAAUUUAAUGGUCUUUAUACAUUUCAAGGUAACAAAGGUGCAACUACGGUUUCGACCUCAGAAUAAAUUUUAGAGACUACCAAAUUGUGGCAUAUGCAGCUUAGGCAUAAUGAGAUAAGGUUAACAAUUUUGAGCCAACAAGGUUUGCUUAAUGGACAAAAAAUAGGAGAGCUAGAUUUUUGUGAGCAUUGUGUGUUUGGGAAAAGAAGGUAAGGUACUUUAUUUAUAGAACUAAAGGUACUUUAUUUAUAUUCAUUCAGAUAUUUGAGGUCCAUCUCACACUAUAUCACAUAGUAGUGGAAGAUAAAUGUUAAUCUUCAUCGAUGAUUACUCCAGAAAAGUCUGAAUACAUAUCUUGAAACAUACAAAUGAUAUUGGGAAGUUCAAGCAAUGAAAAACUAUAUUUGAGAAGCAAAUGGGACAACAAAUCAAACACUUGAGAACUAACAAUGGCAUGGAAUUAUGUGAGAAAUAAUUCAAUGAGUUUUGCAAGAAUGAAGGUAUUGUAAGACACUGCACAGUUAGGCAUACUCCACAAUAGAAAUGUGUUGCAAAAUGGAUUAAUAGAACCCUUUUAGAGAAAACACAAUGUAUGCUUUCAAAUGCAAGGUUGUUGAAUGUGAAUGUGAACGUGAGAGAUCAAGAGCAUAUCUUUAUAUAUGUUGAAUGUGUUUCAAAUUCUAUUUUGAAUUAAUUUAUAAGUUAUUGAUAUUUUCUUAAUAAGUUAUAUUCAUGUAAGGAACUUUCCUAUUAUUAUAAAGGAAACAUCAUAUUGUGAGAUCUUCUUUUAGAAAUAGAUAUCUUUCAUAAUUAUAUAAUAAGUUUCCUAUAUGAAAUAUUCUUAUGUAAUUAGGAAUAUAUAUAGGAAGAGAUUUUGAUUAAAAGAGUCUCCUUGUGGGUACAAUUAGGCUCUUCUUCAUCUUCACUCGUGGAUGUGGCCAUAGUGGCAAAGCUAGAAAAUAAGUUAAGGAUAGGAAUUAAUUUCAAGGGGCAAACAAAGAGAUUAAAUGGUCAUAUAGCUUGGUGAUAAAAACUAUAGAAGCUAAUCCAUAAAGAAAGGAUCAAAUUCCCAUCUUGGCAAAAAAAAAAAAAAUGAAGAAAAGCCAAAAAACAUUGUGCCUUGGACAAAUUUGACUCCAAAGCCCUUCUACUGUUAGGGGUAUAUCCUUGAAAAAAGAAAAGUGACUUAUAAGAAAACCUUUUCCAAAAGCAAUCUUGCUCAUAAAAUAAAAUAAAUAAUAAUAAAUAAACUUUUUAUGAAAGUAUGAUCAAUUAAUGGGAAAAACUGCAUGAUGGCCAUACCAAGAGGGCCUGGUUCUCUGGAUCGAUAUAGUCCAGAAACACUCUUCUAUGCAACCUUUGCUGCUCUAUUUGAGGAUUUUUGGAUAAAACCUUGCGCAUAUCAGCUACAACAUUCUGUAACCAGAAAAGAGAUAACCCAAUUCAUCAAAUGAAGGGAAAGGACCAAAACCAAGUGCUUAAGUAGACAAGAUCUAGUUGAGAGGUAGAUAAACCAAUUUUUGCUCACUCACAUUAAUCUUAUCGACAUCCAAGUGGCUGAUGGCAAGUUGUGUCUUGAUGCGCCAAUGAGUUCUCUGGCUGAGAUUCCUCACAACAUUCACUGUGAAUUUGUUGUUUGGAACAUGAACUGCUUCACGAUCAUCACCUCUUAUGAUUGUCGGUGACCACCAACCCACACGCUGAAGUAAUAUGUAUUAUAAUUACAAAAAAGCAGAAAGACAAGGUCUGACAAUUCCUACCUUAUUCAUAUUGCAAAACAACCAAGUUGCUUUUUUUUUUUUGAUUGGUAAAAGUUGCCAAUCUCACUUAUGUUAAGCAGAGGCAGUGGAAAGGCCUUCUUUCUCUUAGCUAUAUUACCUUUCUAAAAUCUCUGUGGAAAAGAGUGAAUACAAACCUCAACUGUACCAGAAACUUCAGAAUCUUUAAUCUUUGUUUGAAUCCGUUCAUUCACAGCAAAUGGUCGUGUUGCAUGGAUCAUUACACUUGAAAGGAAAUUUGUGAAUAUCUGAAUGAAUCAAAAAAUGAGAAUCAAGCUUUUGGUAAAUGAAGAUCCACCCAGUUAACAGAAAAGGUGUCUUCACCUCACGACCAGCAAGAGUAAGCAAUACUGUGCCAAGACCCCCAGCAGUUAGCCAUUUCUGGGUGGGAAAACCCAGCAACUCCAUGAACAAUGAAACAGCAGCAACCCAUAUUGCAGUAUAAACAGCUUUCCCGGCAGACUGGAAGCCAAUCUGCCAAAAGCAAGAAAACAUUGUUGUAGAAUAAUAAUUAUUCGUUGCAUCUAGCAGUGCCUUGAGAUACCUGACUAUCAUUUAAUAGCUCCCUAACCAAAAAUGUCAGACCCAAAAAAAAACAGAAAGAAAGAAAAGUAUGUUACAAUGCUUCCCAUGGAGGAUAAUGAAUCAAGACGUAAUUUCCGGAGUGCCUAGGCAUUUGAAAAAAAAAAAAAAACACACCAAAAAAGAGGAAAAAAUCAUCUCUUUGGCUUCUCAAUUUUCUCACAAAGAUUCACACUGCAGAGUGGAUCAUUCCAAAGAAUAAAGGAAGUUGACUAAGUUUGAAUUUUAUUACUUUAAUUACUACAUUUAUUCACUCAAAACUUUUUUGACUUAGGAGGAAAUGACAAUAAUGCUUUUCCCCAGUAAGUGAAAAAGGAAAAUAAUACAAAGGCAUUGGAUUAUAUAAAAACUAAAUUCAAAAUUUAUUUUUAGCUCAACAAAUCAUCCACAUUAAGUAAUUACCUCCUUUCAAGGAACUAGUAGUAAAUUCUCAUGCUACUUAUUUGAUCAUGUUUCAUUAAAUUAAUUUUUUCCAAAACAUGUACCACAGUGAGCUGUGAGGCAAUUUAGCAUGACAGAACAUGAUAAGCAACAGAAAAAAAAAAGCUGCAUCAUUUCUAAAGUAGCAGAAACAUACAUUUCUAGCAUCACUGGAGUCAUUGCUUUCCAUGAAGAAUUUUUGUACUUCUUGAAUCAAGCUGCACAAAAAGAAUAUGAACACUUAACCACUCAAAUGCAUACCCCACAUACCUCAAUCCAAAUGAUGGGAAAAUCAACAAGAUGGACACCAAUAAAAUAAAUACAAAAAAAAAAAAAAAAAACACACACACACACACACACAAGCAAACAAAAAUGUGAAAGGUUGGAAAGAUGAUAUAUAUUUAUGGCAACAAAAACAGAAGUAGAAAAGCUCUUUCAACAAAACAUACUAGUUAAAAACAUUUUGUUUUGAUAAGUAAGUACGAGUGUACUAGAAUAAAAAGAAGUAUACACAACGUAUACAAAGCAACCAAAAACCCAAAAGAAGGGUGGGAAUAUAAAAACUAUCGGUUGCACCCUACAAAGAGCCUAUCCAAUCCACAAACUCUAACAAUGAUAACGAUCCAUCCCCAAUAUACAUUCUUACCCACUCCCAAAAAAAAAAUUCAAGAAAGAUCCCUUAAUUGUUUGAUUAAAACUUUCACAGGUAUCGAAAGCUCUCCUAUUUCUCCCACUCCAUAAGGUCUAGAACACGCAUAAUGAAGCAACCUUCCAAGAUUGUUUUUUUUUUUUUUCCAACAGAAAAACCGUGCCAACUUAGAAGAAACCCCCUAACUAAAGAGUGCAUCACCCACUGUACACCAAAUAGAGCAAAAAUCAACUACCACAAAACUCAUGAUUUUAUGCAAUGAAGAAGAAUGUGAUCACGCGUUUCUUCUUCUUCUUUGCACAUGUAGCAUUUGUUGGGAAUCCUCCAACCCGUCCUUUUGAGCUGAUCCAAGGUCAGAAUCCUAGCCCAAUUUGCUUCCCAAGAAAAGAAGCUAACUCUCACUAGGACCCAAGAAUUCCAACCAAUGUCAUGAGGGAAAGGCUCCAUUCCCCCAUUCACCAAGGAGGAGUAAAAAGAUUUUACAGAGAAGUUACCAUUCUUUGACCUCAGCCACACCAUAGUAUUUUCAGAGUCCAAGUUAAUGGAGUGGUUAUACAAUCUCUUAAAAGAAGCAUCAACCUUCUCCAGCUCCCAAUUAUGCAAUUGUCUAACAAACCUGGGGCUCCAACUACUAUUGUCCCAAAUAUCCUUCACCCAAGCAUCUUUUGAGAAAGCUAUAGAAUAAAGGGCUGGAAAUAAGUCCCUCAAGGUUGUGUCUCCACAUCACUUGUCUGUCCAAAACUUCACCCUGUUGCCAAAACCAACCUUGAAACCUGUUUUAUCUUUGAGCACUUCCUAAACACUUUUGAUUGCCUUCUACACCUCCACUCCAUAUUCCUCUCUUACUUCUUUAGAGCACCACCCUCCUUCUUGUUGCCCAUACUUUCCUAUAAUUACCCAUUUCCAAAGAGGGUUCCUUUUGCACACAAAUCUCCAAGACCAUUUUCCUAAGAGAGCUCAAUUAAGAAUUGAUAAGUUUCUAAUGCCCAAACCCCCUUUUUAUUUUUCCAAGCAAACAAUUGCCCAAUAUACCAAAUGCAGCUUGUGAAGCAACACCCCCCCUUCUCAAAGAAAAUCCCUUUGAAUCUUUUCUAAUCUCACAGCUACCCUUUUCGAGAUGGGGAAUAGAGACAUAAAAUAAAUUGGCAAACAUUAGGAUGCGCCAACCACUAAAGCAGGACUCAUGCCAACGCAUCAAAAGUUAGAAUAAGGCAUUUGGCUUAUUAUUGAACCUUUUUAGUGUUAACAAUAAUAAAUAAAUAAAUAAAAAUAAAAAACAAGUUUUUGACUACAACAAUUCCUCAAUAACUCCUACCAAUCAUUUUAAGAAUGAUCUGCUACUAAGUGCUUGAACGGCACUAUGAUUAAAUGUUUGAUAAACUUAUUGGAAAACUCCUCAUGGGACAUGAUUGUCACAGCAACCACACUCACCUUGAUAAACAACAGGCAGAGGCUAGCACCGUUGAUAAUGAUCGUAUAAAAAUUAGAAGUCGUUGCUUAACAGCCUGGCUCUCUUUUGAAGGUAGAAUUAUUGGAUCCAAUGCUCUAAAAAUGAACCCUGAUAUGGUCAGCAUAGUAGACUGAACAGAAGUAGAUGCUAGUCAUGCAGAAAUAUCAUGUUACUGACCUGCAAAUAAGCAUUGCUCCAAUCCAUAACAGCAAAGGUCGAAGGUAAUAGGUCAUAACAUAAUACGUGCUACUCUUUUUCCAACUACUAUUAUCAGUCUUCUGCAAGAAAUCACGAAAAAAGAAGCAUCAGACAAUUAAGGGAUUAACAACUGUUGAAAAGAUAAAGAUAAUGGUGAAAGAAUAAUAGUCUGUACAUUGAGGAAAAGGUUCCUGCCAAGACGCAUUAGCGGCCCCAGACCCCAUGUAGCAAAAGCAACAAUGCUAACUGCUGGAACCAAUUGAAGUAGAAGAGGGCUUCCUUGUAAAGCAUUACAUGACCUGCAUCAUAUGAUGGAAACUGUGUCAAGAUCAUACAUGUUAAAAUGGAAAAGAGAGAAAAAAUAUAUAUAUAUAUAUUAUUCUGACAUAAGUCCAGGUAGGUAACGUGUACCAACUUCAAAUAUGAGCUCAAAAGGCAAUCAGGUGUGUAAGAUCAUUUUCCAUUACAAAAAUCAUUAUCCUAUGGAACUGACCAUUAUCUCAUCAGAUUGAGCAUGAAAACUAUCCAAGGAUAGAGCAAGCAUAGAAUUUGUUGACCAUUCCAAUAUUGGUGAAAUACUGCCCUCCCACUUGGAGCUGCUUCUAAAGUCCAUUUAUUCAUAUUUUAGUGAAGAGCCACCAUGUUAUGUUGCCUUACAUUAGCAGUUGCAUCCGGUUUGACAAAUGUGACAUUAUAUACUCUUUAUUAUUAUUAUUUCAACAGGUAAACAGGGGCAACCAAAGGACAAAGAUGUGGACUCAAUCGUCCCAGAUGUAAGGCACAUCAUGUUCUUUUAAUUCUACAGGAUAGAUAAUGUUCCCAGGUACAAGGUCCCUCUAGCUUAAGACAACCCAAAACAGGCAGUUAGUGCACCGAUGAUUGCCACAUUGUCUAGGAUAGGAAGUAAGCCUUUUGGGUUGAUUAGUUUUGUGGCUUAUGAUAGUUUUAUUUGCUACUUUACAAAGACUGUAGGCCGCUUGUACUAGAUAAUUUAUAUGAAUGAACUGUCAAAGGACAACUUUGUUGUCCACACUUCUUUCCUUAUUUUAGCCCACACUUCUUUUCUUAUUUUAGCCCACAAUUAUUUCCUUAUUUCUCCAUUUAUUAUUCUGUACAGUUAGCAUACAUUAUUUGACAGAUUAUAGUUUACAUAUAUAGGGCUAGAAUCAUGCUGGAAUUUAUUUGCUUUUAUUUGCUUUCCAUGUAUAGCAUCCUUGUAAAGUCUAUAUAUAAUAUACAAAACUCAAGGCCAAGGUAUUCGGCCAUUCACACAAUAUUUUGACAUGGUAUCAGAGCUUGUGUUCUAAACUUAGAGUUUACACACUUUCUAGUUUUUCUUUGGGUUUUCUUGGAUUUAGCCCUAAGGGCUCUCGGAUUUAGCCAUAGGGGCUCUCGGAUUCAGCCUUAGGGGCUCUCGGAUUUAGCCUUAGGGGCUCUCGGACUCUAGCCCAGCUUUUGGGUUUUUUUUUUUUUUUUUUCUGGUGGUUGUGACGACACAUCUGUGGUGUGAUCUUGGAGUUUUCUUUAGGUUUCUUCGCUUUUAGGCCCUUGGAGAUCUUCGAUUAUUUGGAGGUUUGUUAUCAGAUUUGGGCUCUUUGAUGAUGUUUUUUUUUUUUUUGUUUCCUAGGUUAUUUCUGUCUUCAUAAUGUCUAGAGAAUAUUCUAUUGUUCGUUUCAAUGGCAAAAACUAUCUUAGUUGGGAGUUUUAGUUUAAGAUGUUUGUGAAAAGUAAGAAGCAAGACAGAGUCUCUAAGUCAUCUACGGAAUCUGAGUACCGGGCGAUGUCUCUUGCUUGUUCUGAAAUCAUUUGGCUUCGAGGUUUGCUUGCGGAGUUAGAUUUUUCUGAGACCGAUCCUACACCUCUACAUGCCGAUAAUACAAGUGCUAUUCAGAUCACGGUCAAUCCUGUCUAUCAUGAGCGCACAAAGCAUAUUGAAGUGGACUGUCACUCUAUCCAUGAAGCCUUUGAAGCUCGUGUUAUCACUCUUCCACAUAUUUCCACUGAUUUACAAAUUGCUGAUAUCUUCACCAAGGCUCUCCCUCGUCAUCGACAUUGCUUGCUAAGUAGCAAAUUGAUGCUUAUUGAUCAACCUGCAUCAAUUUGAGGGGGGCUGUCAAAGGACAGCUUUGCUGUCCACACUUCUUUCCUUAUUUUAGCCCACACUUCUUUUCUUAUUUUAGCCCACAAUUGUUUCCUUAUUUCUCCAUUUAUUAUUCUGUACAGUUAGCAUACAUUAUUUGACAGAUUAUAGUUUACAUAUAUAGGGCUAGAAUCAUACUGGAAUUUAUUUGCUUUUAUUUGCUUUCCAUGUAUAGCAUCCUUGUAAAGUCUAUAUAUAAUAUACAAAACUCAAGGCCAAGGUAUUCGGCCAUUCAUACAAUAUUUUGACAUGAAAAGCUAUAAAAGAGAUGGCUAUCUAGACCUAUGUGCACUUGAUAACAAGAAAGUACAAGAAAUAUAACUCAAAACACUUCUAGAAGAAUUGAUCAAAUGAGCAGAUGAACCUCAAACAAAUUUUCUUUUAAUGCCCAACCAUAGUAUUAGCAAAGAUAUUAACAAUCACAGGUGGACACAGAUAAAUGUAUGCAAUGUAGAGUUUAUUGAUUGAUGCGGCAUAACUACAACACAAAAAGAUUUGAUUAUCCAAUCCAAGGUACUAACUCUCACAAACUUAUGAACGAUAGGCUACAGCAGAAGAAAAUGAUAUUUGUAUGCAGGUAAACCGUAUACAUCCAGCAGUAGAAAUGCAAAUAUGAAGAAACUCCAAAAUUACAAAAAGUAAGAAACAAAUAACCUACUUCAGAUAUGAGCUCAAAGGCCAAUCAUGUGCACAAGAUCAGUUUUUACAUGACAAAACCCAGUAUCAUAAUCCUGCGGAACUGGACCAUUAUCUUAAAAGAUCAAGCAUGGAAGCUAUCCGAGGCUAGGCAAGCCUAGAAUUUGUUGGCCAUGUUGAUAUUGACGAAAUACAGCCCUCCCACUAGGAGCUGCUUCUAAAGUUCAUUUAUUCAUAUUUUAGUGAAGCACCAGCAUAUCAUUUUUCCUUACAAUUGGCAAUUGCAUCUGGUUUAACAAAUGUAACAUCAUAUGCUCCUUAUUACUACUUCAACGGGUAAACAGGGACGGCCCAAGGACAAAGACAUGGACUCAAUCAUCUGAGGUAUAAAGUAUAUCAUGUUCUUUUAAUUUUAUAAGACACAUAAUGCUCCCAGGUACAAAGUGGUUCCAGCUUAAGACAACCCAAAACAGGCUGUUAGGGCACAGAUGAAUGCUACAUUAUCUAGGCAAGGAAGCGGGGAUUAAGGAUUGGUUAGUGUGGAAGACACAGCUGUGACAUAUACAGUUGUGUGUGUACAGCUGUCUAUAUCUAUGUACAGCUGUAUGCACACACAGCUGUGUGGAUUUGUGUAUAUAAUCCCUGAUUUGUAGGGAUCUUUAAUAUUUCUUUCUUUAUUCUUUCUUUCCUACUAUUGUAUUUAUUUCAAGGGUUGUAUAGAUUUAAUAUAUGAAUGAGAAAUACAAUCUUUCUCCACAUGGUAUAAGAGCCGAUUUAGGCUCCUUGGAAUUUUUCUUUUCAGUCUUCAUUGCUGAGUUGUAGUACCCUUUUUUCUUUCUUUUUUUUAACCCCAAUUUAAUGGCCUCCAUUGUCAUUUCAAAGGCACUCUGCUAUAUUUUUCUCUAAAAUUAUAUCUAGAACAACAAACAAGGAAACUAUUUGGUGUAUCUACUGCAAAAAGUCCAAAUACACAAGGGACUGGUGCUGGAAGCUCUAUGGAAAGCCUCAAAUUUCGAGUAAAGAUUGGGACUUCAAGGGUAGACAACAAGGUUUUAAAGGUGGACAACAAAGAAUUUAAGCACACUUCAUCAACUCUCAAAUCAAUGAAAACCCAUUACAAGAAAGAGGGCUGGCAGUGAACAUACUGAUGUUAACACUUACUGAUCUUAACACGGAAGAGAUUGAGAAAUCAAAGAAUCUCCUGAGGAACCCUUAAGAGUCCUAGUGGAGCUUGUUCUCUCACUUAGUCAGGUAAGUAUUCCCCUUCUCUUGAUUUUAGUGUCUUAGAUGUCUUUCUAGGCUCUUGAGUCAUUGACUCCAGAGCUAUAGAUCAUAUGACUCAUUCCCCACAAAAGUUUAGUAUCUUUAGCCCAUAUCCUAUUAAUAAGAAAAUAGCCACCGUUGAUGGUUUUCUAGCUACCAUGGCUAAUCAAGGGGAAGUUCGCUUGAAUAAAUCUAUAGUUUUGAAAAAUGUGCUACAUGUAACUAAGCUUUCCACCAAUCUUGUUUUCAUUCGUCGACUUACCAAAGAACUUAAUUGUCAUGUUUUUUUAUCUCUCUCACUAUGUAUUUCAAGAACAAGAUAUAGGGAAGACGAUUAGACGUGCUAGAGAAAAUGGACUUUACUAACUUAAAUUGUUGUUUAGUCAAAAAUAGGACUGGAAGUCAGGUACCCUUAUCAUUCCUUUUUGAAAUCCCAUUCACAAUAAAAGAUAAGAUUUGGCUUCAUCAUCUCGUCUUGGACAUCCGUCAUUUGGCAUUCUUAAAAAUAUGUUUCCUUUAUCGUUCAAAGGAAUUGAUGUAGAAAAUUUAUAUCGUGAUGUUUGCGAACACCAUCGUGUUUUUUUCCUAAUAAGUAAUAAAAGAGUUCCAAUUCCUUUUGAGUUAGUUCACAGUGAUAUUUGGGGUCCUUCCAUAAUUCCUAACAUUUUAGGCUCUAGAUGGUUUGCCUCAUUUAUAGAUGAUUGUACUCGAUCUAGGAUCUUUCUUCUCAAACAAAAAUCAGAUGUGAGUAUGGUAAGUGUGUUUAUGUAUCAGCAAUUCCAGGUCAAAAUUCGCAUUGUGUCUCUUAGCCCAUACUCUUCAAAUCCUCCAUUGGAUACUUGUCUUUUGCGAAUUGUUCAUGUUUGAAGAUGGCUAAAGGAGAUGGUAAGUGUUUUUGAAGUGUUGGAUGAUGGCAAACAUUGAUCAACCAUGUUUUAAACUCUUAUCAUUUUACUAAAAAAUGGAUGGUUGCUUAUGGAAUGUAAAACAUAAUGUUUAAAUCAUUUGGAUCGAUUUCUGAUCGAUCCAACUUAAGGGUAUUAGUCUCUAUUGUACCAAGUUCUUUUUAUUCUUAUCUAAUCGAUCAAACUUCAACCACAUCUGCAUUUCUUUAGCUUUUUCCAAAUCAUUCUCAAUUGUUUGAUGGAUUUUAAAAUCCUAAUACUUAAGCCAUCUUUCCAAAAGAGAAGAGACGGUUGUAAAAGUGAGAGACCUUGUUUUAAGCUUUAAUUUUUCUAACCAAAUUGGGGAAAGGGUUAGCCUUGAGAGAAAAUCACUUGGGUUUGAGUUGAAAAUCAAUUUUUGAGUGAAAAAUUUUCAUUCCAAAUGGGUUGAUUCAUUGUGUUAUUCAUACUUAUUCUCAUACUCAUCAUUUUGGGGUAAAACCAAAAUUUCUUCUUGUAUGGAUUCAAGAAAAGGUCGAGAUCAAGCUUGGUGUGGACUCCAAGUAUGCUCCAGAAGAAGAAAGUGGGUAGUUGAAGUUUAAAGGUUCAAGGCAUGUGGUCUGGGAGAAAAUUGAAGGAUUGGGCUAGGUAAAUCCUUGUACUCAAUUAAGUUUCUUCAUAGUAGAUGUUUUGAUCGUUUGAGGCCCAUAGUUUUUUAUCUCUUUGUAGGUUUUCCACAUUAAAAUUUUGGUGUCAAUAUCUCUUUAUCCCUAUCUCAAUUUUUAUUAGUUUAUGUUAGCUUAUAGAAUUUUCAUUGAUUUAUUUUGUUGAUUGAUUAAGGUUAUGAGCUGAAAUUGGAUCAUUAAGGCUUUAAAAGAAUAUGGUAUAUUUCAGUUUUUUAUGUUGAUGAUGACAAGGGACAUGUGAAACUAUAAUUUUGUGUUGGUACAAUGUAUCAUGGUUGGGGAGUGUUGAUCCAUUUGUAUGUAACUUACAGUGACUAACUUGUUGAGAGAGUGUUGAUGCAUCCAUUAUUGCAUGUGAUUUGCUUGUGUGUUAAUAGGAUUGAAAAAGAAACUCAAAACAUUUGAGAAAAAUAGGGGAAUUGUAACCAUUUGUGAAAUACCAUCUCAAAUUGUUUUAAAAACACCUAUUCACCCCCCUUCUAGGUGUUAUCCAUAUGUGAGAUUCAUCUUUUAUGUAUUGCAUUUCCCAAUUUUCACAAAAUGGUCAAAACUCAAUUUAAAGUGGGAAUCAAGAAGUUUAGGUUUGAUAAUGCAAAUGAUUACUUCAAUCAAAUCCUAUCUCCUUAUUUUCAAAAAGAAAAUAUUAUCCAUGAAUCCUCUGGCGUUAGUACUUCUUAACAAAAUAGGGUUGCUAAAAGAAAAAAUUGUCAUCUUCUUGUUGUUACAAGAGCUGUUUGGUUUCAACAAAAUGUUCUUAAAUUGUAUUAGGGGGAAACAAUACUUACCGUUGUUCAUCUUAUAAAGCAAUUGUCGUUUAGGGUUUUGGGGUUCAAAAGUCCAAUGGAAAUUUUUUCAAAAUACUUCCCAAACUUUACAAUGUCUAUCAAUAUUGUUCCAAAAGUUUUUUGUUGUGUUUCUUUUGUCCAUGUCCACGCUCAUAACAAAGAUAAACUAGAUCCAAGAGCAAUUAAGUGCAUUUUUGUGGGGUAUUUAUCAACUCAAAAAGCUUACAAAUAUUAUCAUCCACCCACUUGACAAUUUUAUGUCUUUCCCGAUGUAUCCUUUGUUGAAUAUGAAAGCUACUUAAAUCAUCCUUAUCUUUAAGAGGAGACAUCAUUCAUGGAAGAUACAAAUACAGGAGAAUUGUUCUUACUUGACUUGCCCUCACCUAUGUCUAAACCCUCACAAUCACAAUCAUCCAUGUCUGAGUCUGUGUCUGAACAUUCACAAAUUCCUAAACCUACAAGUCCUAACCUUAGAAGUCUACCUUUAGGGAAACAAGUUCCCACUUCUACAAGGCAAACAUUGGUUUACUCAAGAAAGAAAGCAACCAUUAUUAAACCUAUGCAGGUCCAAGAGUCAAAAUUGACCACUUCCUACAAAGUAAAUGAUCCAUUUUCUCCUAGGAUUUCUCUGGAUUCUGUUGAUAGUGGUGAUCUAAAUUUGCCCAUUGCAGUGAAAAAAGGCACAAGAACAUGUACUUAGCACCUUUAUAUCCAUUUUCCCAUUUUAUGUCCUAUGACAUAUUGUCAUCAUCUUAUAGAAAUUUUCUCACCAGCCUAAACACCAUAGUCAUACUAAAGACCUUAUCUAAGGCACUAAAUAGUAAGAGUGGAAACAAGCUAUGGGGGUUAGGAUGGAAGCACUUGAAAAUAAUGGGACUUGGGAUGUAGUUGAGUUAAGAGAGAAGAGAGUAGUAGGAUGCAAGUGGGUGUUCACAGUCAAGUACAAGGUGGAUGGUUCUCUUGAGAGGUACAAAGUCAAGCUUGUUGCCAAAGGUUAUACUUCGACAUAUGGAGUAGAUUACCAAGAAACUUUCACACCAAUAGCUAAGAUGAACACUCUGAGAGUUUUACUUUCUUUGGCUGCCUAAUUUGACUGAGACUUACAACAGUUUGAUGUGAAAAAUGUGUUCCUAUAUGGAGAGUUCAAAAAAGAAAUUUAUAUGGAUCUUCCAUUUGGAUUUAAUAUGCACUUGAAAGGAAAAAGGCAUGCAAAUUGAAAAAAGCCUUAUGUGGACUAAAACAAUCUCCACAGGCUUGGUUUGGAAGAUUUGCUAAAGUCAUAAUAACUGUUGGCUACAAACAACCUUAUUUAUUAAACACUCGGCCUUAAAGGGAGUAACCGCCCUACUGGUUUAUGUGAAUGAUAAAAUAGUGGUUGGAAAUGAUCUUAAAGAAAGAGAAGCAUUAAAAAGGUGUUUAACAAAAGAGUUUGAAAUAAACAAGCUUGAAAAACUAAAGUAUUUCUUGGGAAUUGAAGUGGCUCACUUAAAAAGGGGAAUUUUUGUCUCCCAACAAAAAUAUGUUUUUGACUUAUUACAAGAGACAGGAAAAAUAGGAUGUAAACCAAUUGAAACACCUAUUGAUUCAAAUCAUAAGCUUAGAGAAGCAAGUGGGGAUGCAAUUGCAGACAACUUAGAGAAGCAAGUGAGGAUGUAGUUGCGGACAAGGGUAUGCAUCAGAGAUUGGUUGACAGGCUAAUCUACCUAUCACAUACACGACCAAACAUAUACAAUCAGCCUAGUGAGUCAAUUUAUGCAUAACCUGAAGAAGUUCAUCUACAAGCUGCAUACAAAAUCCUACACUACCUAAAAGCAAGUCCAAGGAAAAGAAUUUUGUUUAAGAAAAGCAACAACCUAUCAUUGGAGACCUAUAUUGAUGUAGAUUAAGUAAGAUCAAUUGUUAAACAGAAAUCUACAACAGGAUAUUGCCCAUUUCUUGGAAGGAACUUGGUAACUUGGAGAAGUAAGAAACAAAAAGUUGUUGCAAAAUCUAGUGCAGAAGCGAAGUUUUGUACAAUGGGCCAAGGAAUCUGUGAGUUGCUUUGGCUCAAAAUUAUCUUGGAGGACUUGAAGAUUAAAUGGGAGACAUCAAUGAGACCUUAUUGUGACAAUAAGCCAAUCAUCAACAUUGCACAUAACCCAGUACAACAUAACAGAACCAAGCAUGUAGAAAUAGACAAACAUUUUAUUAAGAAGAAAUUAGACAGAGCUUAAUCCACACACCAUAUGUGUCCAUUGGAUGUCAAUUAGCCAAUGUCUUAACGAAAGUAUUAACCAGUACCCGAUUUCAAGAAAUCAUUAUCAAGUUGGGAAUGGAUAAUAUCCAUUCAUCAGCUUGAGGGAAAGUUUGGAAGAUACAGUUGUAACAUAUACAACUGUGUAUAUCUAUGUACAAUUGUGUGCAUACACAACUGUGUGAAUUUGUGUAUAUAAUCUCUUAUUUGUAGGGAUCUUUAAUAUUUCUUUUUUUAUUCUUUCUUUCUUACUAUUGUAUAUAUUUCAAGGGUUGUAUACAUUUAACAUAUGAAUGAGAAAUGCAAUUUUUCUCCACUGUUAGUUUUGUGGCUCAGGAUAGUUUUAUUUGCUAUAUUACAAAGACUGCAGGCCUCUUGUACUAUAUUAUUUAUAUGAAUGAAGUGCUACAAAAGAGCUGGCUAUCUAGACCUAUAUGCACCUGAUGACAAGAAAGUAUGAGAAAUACAACUUAAACACUUUCAGGAGAGUUAACCGAUUGAGUAGAUGAAAAAGAUGAACCUCAAACAAUUUUUCUUUUAAUGCUCAACCAUAGUACCAACAAAAAAAUUAACAAUCACAAGUGGACAUUGAUAAAUGUAUGUGAUGUAUAGUUAAUUUUUUUUUAUAGGAAACAACAAAGAGAUAUAUAGUUAAUUGAUUGAUGCUGCAUAACUACAACAGCAAAAGAUUUUAUUAUCCAAUCCAAGGUACUAACUCUCACAAAAAUAUGAACUCUAAGCUACAGAAGUACAAGUUCAUAUUUAUUUAUUUAUUGAUUUAUAUUUUUUAUAGACAACAAAAGCAUGUAUUAAGAUAUGCCAAAAACAGAGGGUGCACCCUAUGUAUACAGGCAAUGUACACAAAAUAUCCCAAAACAAGCACAAAAAAUAUACAAGAUUAGCCUACAAAAACAAGGCAAGCUAACCACAAGAAAGAGCAUCUAAGAAAUCCAAAAUAGAGGGGGCCAAUGAAUCAAUACAAGUUUAUAUUUAUAUGCAGGAAAACUGUAUAUAUUCAGCAAUAGAAAUAGAAAUAUGGACUUCAUUAGUGUUUUACAUGGUUGACUAAAAGAAACUCCAAAAUUACAAAAAGUAAAAAACAGAUGUACCUUGUCAAAACCAAGGCAGCAGAUUUUAAAACUGAAAUCUCAUUUCCUCCACCUAGAAACGAUCGGCACAGGAAAACAUUACAUCUAGAAGAUACAGGAGUUAUUGACCCACCCAUACUAUUUGAAAGAUGAAGACUCCAAGCAUCCUGUCUCUGAAGAGAUAAUCAUGUAAUCAGCAGAAUUUCUCUAGGCUUCACACUUUAAAGAACAUUAAAUUUGUUAAACUUCUAUUUCUUGCAUACACAUGCACCAAAUCAUACAUAUGUGCAUGAAAAAACUGUGCCAAAAAAAAAAAGGGAUCAAUUGUUAUCUUCAGCAAGCAUUUAUAGUCCUAAAGGGUAACUUCCAUAAAAGAUAAUUAAAUCAUUAAAUUAUACUGAUGGGCCACUAGGACAUCAGUUCACUAAUUGAUUGUUGAAGAGGGUUGCAUACCCUUAACCAAAUUCAAAGUCAAUAGUCAACACCUCAUACCAUGAGUUAUCCAUCAAUUCCCAAAUUGCAGGUUGAACCCUUCAUAGGGCAUAUAGCCCCAUAACCAAAUUCAAAGCCAAUAGCCAAAGACCCACUUACCAUGAUUGGACUGAGAGGAAGAUGGGAGGUGACUGUUGCUACUUCGGCAUCGAAUCAGAAUCUUUGAGAUAUCAAUUGGGAUGGUCAAAGGUAAGAUGGUUGGAAAGGUUGUGGAGAGGGGCUGGUGCCUUUCCUCUUAGAUCAUAUUUGGUGAGAAGGAUCUUUAUCUGUUGCUGGAAGGAGCGGAGGUCUGUGAUGCAGGUAGUGAUAGAUCUCCUUUCAAGAUGUUUCAUGUCAAGGGAGGUAGAGUUUACAAGCUGGAUCUGCAUAGCAACAAGGUAGGCAGAUUUCUGCUGUGUUCUGUUAGGCCUGUAGAGGAGAAGAAGUUCUCUUUGGUGUUCCUAGAAGGUAGAGGACUUCUUGGUGGGUGGAAAGUUUUGGCCGACAAGCUCAGGAGCUUGGGGGCUGUCCCAUUGCCUAAGAUUAAGGAGGCAGUUAGCACUGUAAAUGGCCAGAUGGAGACAUGGAUUAAAACUUCAGGAAAUAUUGGAUAUCAAUGGCCAUCGAUAGGAUAAUUAAGUGAAUAAGUCGAGUGGGCUGAUUUUUCUUGAUUUUUCCCAAUAUUUCAGGAUUUUUGGUUGAUAUUUCAGGAUAUUUCCCGAUUUUUUGGGUUUUUUUUUGUAAAUACCCCAUUUUCGGUGGUCAACAUGCAGUCAAAGCAAUGCUCAACACAAUCAAAGCCCAAAAAUGUGAUAAAACAAUGUAUGGGACUCAAACCCCUAUCCUCCUUCAUGAAAAAAAAAAGGGCAAUAACCACUUAGUCCAACAUACUAUUCAUGACAUAAAUGAUAAAACUUAUAUAUAUUAAAAUUUCAUCUCAUAUUUAAUGAAAAUGAGAAUUUUGGAGAUUAUAUUUUUAAUACAUUCAUAUCAAACACAAAAUAUUAAAAUAAAACUUUAACAAAUAAUUUAAUUUUAUUUAGAUUGGUCAAGAUGGAUUGUGCUCUCUGAGGAGUAUUUGUGACAUGGUAACCAUUUCAUAUAAGGGAUUAGGAAGCUCUAGGAGAGGCCCAGUAUUGUGGCAAAUCGCUUGUAUUGCUUUAAUUUGGGUUGUGUAGUAGGAAAGAAAUGUCAGCAUUUUUUAGGACAAGGCAAGGACUAUAAAGGUUCUUUGGGAUACAAUUCAUUUCCUUGCUUAUUUUUAGGCCUCUUGCACCCCUUAAUGUGGUUCAACUUGAUUGGUUAGCAAUGUGUAGUUCCAAAGGCGUGGGUUAGUAAGAAGAGGUUUUUUUGUAUUUACCAUAUGGUUUAUGGUAUUCCUUUUGUUUAGCUCUUGUUUGUGGGAAGAUUCUUCAUCCUUCUAUUGUACUUUUUAAUUCUUAAUUCAAUAUAUUACAUUGUUGUUUCUCCUCAAAAUAAAUAAAUAAUUUAAUUUUAACUAUCUUAUAUUCAAAUUCGAUUUAACUGAGUAUUAAAAAUGUAAAAACCAUUAUCAUAAUUUUUUUUAAUGAGUUUUUCUUUAUAUCUUUUGUAUAUUAAUUAAAUAUAAAAGACAUACAUUUAAAAAUAAAAUUAUAAACAUUUUAAAAAUCAUACAUAUAUCAUCAUUUAUUUUGUAUCUUUGAAUACAUUUUAAUUAAAUAAAUUUGUAUCGAAUGUGUUUUCAAGUUCUAUAUAUUAUUAAUGAAUGUCACAAAUAUCCUUAUAUAUCCAUAAAAUCCAACUAACAACAUAUCCGUAAAAACUGAUAUUUUCAUCCUUCAACGAAAGUAUCGGGAGAUAUUGAUGUUUCCAAUGUGAGGAUAGAAAUAGACAAGGUAGUAUGGAUUAAGCUUAGUAUGAAGGAGAUUAACAAAAAUUUGCAACCCCUUAAGUGUUGUUUUGUGGGUAGAUGGGGUAAUUUUGUAGAAAAGGUGUUAGGCGUCAUUUCCUUGGAGUCUUGGGUCGUGUUCAACUAGCGCUUGAAAGGUAUCCUCCAUUUGGCCUUGCUAGGAGGUUCCAAAAAGGUGCUUCGAAAGGGGACUCUUGUUUUUAAGGGCAAACCUCUAAAUCUAGAUUGGUGGGUUCCUGUAGCUUACUACUAUAGAAGUGGUGUUUGUUCUCUUGAAUUGUGGGUGAGAAAUUGUGGGUCUUUCCCUGCAUCUAUGGGGUAAGGCAUUAUUUAAAAAUUUGGGGAUGCCUACAAGGGUUUUUUGGUUCUGGGUAAGGACACAAUUGGUUGUCGCAAUUUGUAGUGGGCUAGAAUCCUAGUUAAAUAUGAUAAGAGGAAGGUGCCAAGCUCGUUGCAAGUGGUGGUGGGGCGUUCUUGUUUUGCCAUCCAGCCUUGGUGGGAGCUACCGCCACAGAUGACCUUGGUAAAGCCUAAGGCAUGGAGCUUAGAGCCUAAGACGUGGAGCAGAGAGCCUAAGAACACAAAUGGGGAAAAAGAGCCUUCACACGCUCGCAAAGGAGUAGGGCUUGAUGUAGUGCCCAUCGAGAAGUAUGUUGGCCAUGUGUUGUUUUUAGGGUAAAAAAGAACGUGACAAAGUAGAGGUGUCCUAAGGUUUUUCUUUGCUUAUUGUGCAGAAGAAGUUUGGUGGAUCCAACAAGGCUCUAAGUUGUUCUCCUUUGAUGUUGCCUAAAGUUUUAGGUAGGUGUUUUGAGGUGGUUUUGGGACCCUUGCCUUCUUCUAGUAAUUGGAUUAGCGUUAGCCCAUCUCAUUUGGAUUUUCCUUCUAGCUUCUUUAGAAAUGGCCAAUCAUAGGCAAUUAGACCCUUCUAAGUCUCAAGCCCCCUUUCUAAAGUCUUCUGGUGUGGGCCAAGCCUCAGUUAAAUUAGGUAAGCCUAAUACUCUUCUCAUUUUUAAAAAGAGGCAAACUCGUUUAGUGCCUUAUUCCUUUUCUUCCUCUAAGGAAGGGGGGCUUGAUGGGUCUAUGCCCUCUAACCAAUGUUUAUCAUCACUCCCGCAACCUCUUCAAGAGCAAAAGUCAAUCAUAGAAGCACUACUAUCCGAAGCCGCAAGAUUUAAAGGUACAUCCCACCUUUAUGUUUCUUUUUUUAGGGGCACAAUCUCUUCUUCAUCUUCAUCUCUCUCGAUGGCUAACCAAUCUGACCAGCAAGUGGUCAAUAAAUUGACCCCUUGGAGCCAAGAGGGGAUUCUACCAAAAUUCUUGUGAGCUUUGUUAAAGAGCCCUUGAGAAUGAUGAUCCAAGAAGGGUCUUUGGUGGAUUUAUCAAAGAAUUUUAUGAAAGAUUUACAGUGGUGAGACUGUGAGUUGAGAAAGGGGGAGGUGGGUUUGGCAAUUGAGAGAUCUAGUAAUGGUUGGGAUAGUGAGAGCUUUUAACUAAAAGAUGCAUCAACAAGCUAACUUUGUUCAACAAAUUUGAGGAAAUGCCUCUUGAGGGCUUUGAAUUGGAGAUUUUGGCCCUUUUGAGAAAAAAUGAAGGCUAUAAAAAAAGGGAUAGAGGUCUAAAUAAGGGGUUGUUAAGAAGCCAGCCUCAGUUUCUUGUUUUGAGAUGGAGAUUCGUAAAUUAGAAUGCUUAGCUAAUAACAAAAGUUCUCGUGGGCCUAAGAAGAGGUGUAGAAAGAGCAAUUAGUAAUUAGUGUUUGUUGACUGAUGAAGUUAAGGAUUCUUUCUUGGAAUGUUAGAGGUGCCAAUAACAAGGAGAAACAAAAAAUUAUUCAGUUAUUGAUCAGAUCACAAAUUGUGGAUUCAAUGUCCUCUAAGAACCUUUACAAAAUGUUAAGGCAUCUAGUCUAGAACUUAGGAGUGGGUAGAUGCUUAGAAUGGGAAGCAAUGGAAGUUAAAGGUCUAGUGGAAAAGAUCCUGGUAUUCUAGGGUAAUAAGGUGUUGAAGUUUAUUGACAUGGAAGUAGAAGGAUUCCCUAUUUCAUGUCGUUUCAAAAAUUGUGAAGAUGGCUUCCUUUGGAUCUUUUCAAGGGUGUAUGGGCAAUUCUUACGAAGGAAGAAAGAAUGUUUGGGUCGGAUUAGGCUCUAUAAAGAGAAUGUGGAAGGAUCCUUGGUGUUUAGGCGGGGAUUUUAAUAUGAUUAUAUUUCCAAGGGAAAUGAGGAAUUGCUCAAGGUUAUCCUUUGCUAUGAGGCGUUUUUCUGAGAUCAUAGAAGACUUGAACUUCAAGGAGCUUCAAUUGAGUAAAGGCUAAUUCACAUGGUGUGGUGGCUAAGGAUUGAUUUCAACUUCGAGGCUUGAUCAUUUUUUAGUUUUAGAAGAGUGGCAAGAUCAUUUUUCAAACCUAAAUCAAAGUGCCAUACCAAAACCUACUUCCAAUCAUUCUCUUAUUAUUCUUGAUGGAGAUAGGUUGAGUAAAGCGAAGACUCCUUUUAGAUUUGAAGAUAUGUGGCUUAAAAUGGAAGGGUUUAAAGAUCUCAUUAAGAGGUGGUGGUCAGGGUAUUCCCUAAGUGGUUCUUGUAGCCACAUUUUGGUAGAAAAAUUAAAGGCUCUAAAGUAAGACCUAAAGUUGUGGAACAAAGAGGUUUUCGGGAAUGUCUGUUCUAAAAAGCAAUGGUUUCAAAACUGGACCGGUCAUUGAACCGAAAAAGUUACUGGUUCAUAGUUCACUGGUCAAACCAUAGUUAAAUCGGUAACGUCAUAAAUAUAUAUUUUAUAUAUUAUUAAAAUUAAAAAUAAUAAAAUAUGGAAAUGAUUCAAAUUUCAAUUACAAUAAAUAAAUCAACAAAAAUUUCAAUAAAUUGAAAUUUCAAUAUGCAAUAAAUAAAUGAGAGUAAUAGAUUUUAUCAUUUUAAUCAUAAAAUGUUAAACAUAAAUAUUAAAUAUUAAACAUAAAAUGUAAAAUAUUAAAUAUUAAAGUAAAAAAAAUAAAAACUUAAACUGUUCAAACUUAGGAAAAAUCUACAGUGCCUCGUCAGCAGCACUAUAAAUGUAAAAACUAAAAAGUUACGGUCACAGCCACCAAAAGGUCCUCAUCGAUGGCGGCAAGCGAGUCUAACGGAACCAACACCGACUGCGACUGGCUGAGGAACUGGUAGUGGCAACUUGAGUUGCGGGAAAGGGCAGUGGGGCAACAGCUGGGGGUGAGGGGGAAGAAAAGGUUUGCAACAGCUGGUGGGGAUCCUCAUCGGCGACCACAAGCGGGUCCGAGGAAACUAGCACUAGCGGCGACUAGCUAGGGAGCUGACAGUGGUAGCCUGGGCUAUGGGGAAGGGCGGCGAGUAGGGUUUGCAGCAGUUGGGGGGUGGAAGGAAGAAAAAUGAAGAUUUUAUAGUUAUUAAAACGGUGUCAUUUCGAUGCCAAAAGCAUCAAAACAACGUCGUUUUGAUGGAAGGGGAAAAAAAUAAAAAUGAGUUGAACCAUUCAGUUCAAACGGAACCGACCGGUUCGCCGAUCCAACCACCGAUUCAUCCGGUUCGAUGCCGGUCCAACCCUUGGACGGCUUAACCCACUGGACCAAACCGAAACCGUGACCGGCCAAUUCGGUCCGAUCCGGUCCGGUUUUUAAAACCAUGCUAAAAAGCUAAAAGCCUUAAACCAAAUUGGUUUUUUGGGAUUCUAAGAAGAGAAAAGCAGUUCUUCUUGUUGAUGAGAUCAAGGCUAAAAAGAAAGCAUUAGAAGAGUUUAGCACAUGGGCUUCAAUGGAAGAAACUAUGUGGGGGUAGAAAUCAAGAGAAAUCUAGUUAAGAAAUGGGGACAAAAACACUAUGUGCUUCCACAAAAUGGCCAAUGCGCGUUGCACAAAAAGUAAUUGUAAAGGGUGUUUGGAUGACUAAGGAGGUUGAGUUAAAAAAUGGGGUGUAAGGCCUUUCAUAAUCUUCUUUCCAUAUCAAAAAAAUAGAGGCCUAGCAAUAGUGGUAUGAAUUUCAAAGCUUUAGGGAAUGAUGAGGCAAAAGCAUGGAAAUGCCUUUUUUGGAGGAAAAGACACCCUAUUUAAUUUAUCUAAGGAAAAGGCCUCGAAACCAAAUGGUUUUGCAAUGGCUUUUUGGCAGGCUUGUUAGAAUAUCAUCAAUGAUGAUGCAAUGGUUUUCAAAGAGUUCUUUAAUUAUGUUACUUUCUAGAGAUUUCUAAAUACAACUUUUUUGGUCCUAAUUCUGAAAAAAAACUAAUGCAAAAGAGUUGAAAGACUUCAAACCCAUCAACUCGGUUAAGGGUUUGUACAAACUCUCAACUAAAGUUUUGGCUAAUAGAUUAAAAAACGUGAUGGGAAAAGUAGUUUUAAAUUAUCAAUAUGCUUAUGUGAAAGGCAAACAAAUUUUGAAUGAAGUUCUUAUUACAACAAAGCCAUUGAUUCAAGGCUAAAGUGCUCUAUGAGUGGGGUCUUGUGCAAGAUAAACAUUGGGAAGGCUUAGAACCAUGUAAAUUGGAAUUUCUUGAUCUCGAUUUUGCAUAAAAUGGACUUUGGCAAAAGGUAGAUUAGAUGGAUUUCAUGGUGCAUAACCAUAGCAAAAUUUUCAAUUCUAGUUUUCAAAGCUCCAUAGGUUUGAGGCAAAGGAGAUCCUCUUUCUCUCCCUACUUAUUCAUUUUGGCCAUGAAGGCCCUCAAUAAGAUCUUGAGUAGGGCUAGAGAAGGGAGUUUUAUUUCAAGUUUUAAGGUGGGUUAGAGAAUGGAGGAAAGAGAUGUCUAUGUCUCGUCUUUUAAUGGUUGAUGACAUCCUAGCCUUUUGUGACACAAAUCAAGAGCUUAAGUUGGGCUUCUAUGUGGUUUGAAGUGAUAUCUAGCCUCAAAAUAAAUAUGGAGAAACGAGAGCUAACUCCAAUUGAAAAUAUUGUAUAUGUAGAAGGAUUGGCUUCUAUGUUACGUUAUAGGGUGGGAAAACUUGCUACUACCCACUUGGGUCAACCCUUAUAAGCUCCCAUAAAUCAGCAUUAGUUUGGGAUGCAAUGGAGGAAAGAUUUCAAAAGAACUAAUUUUAUGGAAGAGGCAAUACCUCUCAAAAGGGAGGAAGGCAACUCUAAUUAAAAGUACGUCGUCAAGUCUCCCUAUCUACUUCUUGUCUUUGUUCACCAUGCCAAAAAGGAUAAGCUUAAGACUAAAAAAGAUCAAGAGAGACUUUCUUUGGGUUGAUGGGGCUGGUGAGAAAAGGCCUCAUUUGGUAAAUUAAGUCAUUGCUUGUUCAGACAAAAAAACAUAGGGCCUUGGGAUUUGAAAUCUCUCCACUUUAAAUAAGGCUUUGCUUGGUAAAUGGAUUUGGAGGUUCCUAACUAAAAGCCAUUCAUUAAGGAAGAAACAAGUCAUAGCCCAUUUUGGCGUUUUAAUACAAUUUGCACUUACAUAUCAAAAAAAAAAAAAAAAACGUCACAAAAGGCAAAUUUGGGGAAAAUGAAGGAGGAUGGCAUACAAGGGAUGUGCGAGAUGGUUCCAUAUGGGGUGAAGGUGUGGAAGGAAAUUAGAAAAGGUUGUUAUGAAUUGAAAAACAGGUCUCACUUCGAUGUCAAGAAUGGCAAAAAGGUGAGAUUUUGGAAAGAUAAUUGGUAUUGGUAUACGAGUUUGAAAGAAACUUUUCGCUUCAUUGUCGAGAAUAGCAGAAAUGUGAGAUUCUGGAAAAACAAUUAGUGUAGACAUAUGACUCUGAAAGAAGCUUUUCUAAUGUUAUUUUCUUUAGUUGUUGCCAAAAACACAUGGGUGGCAAAGGUAUGGGAGGAAAAAGGGGAGGGAGAUUGGUAAAGUCCCCGUUUUUUCAAGAUAACUCAAUAAUUGGGAGCCUUAAGGGAGCAAAAUGGUUUUUAAGGAGCUUACAUUCUAUCCAAAUUAGAAGCAAUGCGGAGGAUAGGAUAUGUUAGAAGGAAAUCAAGAGUGGCACUUUUCAACUAAAUCUCCUUAUGCAUCCUUGGUUGGGGAAGAAGAAGGCCUCUUUCCGACAAAGAUAGUUUGGAAUCCUUGGGUACCUACAAAAGAAGGUUUCUUUGCUUGGGAAGCUAUAUGGGGAAAUAUUCUGACAAUUAACCAACUUAAAAGGGGAGGAUGGAUGAUGCCAAAAGAUGCUACUUGUGUAAAUGGAAGAAGAAUCAAUUAAUCAUUUAAUUAUUCACUAUGCUAAAGCAAGUUUCUUAUGGAAACUAGUUUUCUCUCAAUUUGGUGUGACACGAGUGAUGCGCUCCACCAUUAGAGAUAACCUUUUAAGUUGCACAGUUCUUUUGUGGGAAAGAAGUAGAAGAAAGCUUGGAAGGUCGCCCUCUUAUGUUUGUUUUGAACUCUCUAAAAGUAGACAAAUAGGAGGUCAUUUACUAAGCAGUCAAAUGAAGUGAUUAAAUAUUCUUUUAUGGCCAAUUUCUUGAAAUGGAUUAAGUUGUACAUAGACCAUCAAUCAAUGUCCAUGAUAGGUUUUGUAGAUUGGUUGUGCUUGAAGUGGAAAGAAGGAGGUUGUUUUUUGUUCUCUAUUUCGUUGUUCUACCUUUUGGUGCAUAUCGUAUACAUUGUGUGUACUUUGUUGUACUCUUUUCAAGGCACUAUUAAUAUACUCUUUUAUUGCCUUUAAAAAGAACAAAUACCAUGAGUCAUCCAACUCCCAAGAUGCUAUUCAAUAAAAUAGCAGAAAUCUCCAAGAACCAACUUUGGCUCUGGAAAGUUUGCAUCAAGAUUGAAAUGUAAGGAAAAAAGUGUCCUCACAUAAGUCAAACUUGUACACAAUUGGUGCAAAUGCCACCAAACUGCUAUACUUUGUCUAACUCACUAAUCUCCAGAAAAUAACAAUAGACUGGAAACCUGAACCUGACAAAACAUCUGGAUGUAGAACACACACACACACACACACACGCAUAUAUAUAUAUAUAUAAAGUGCUGAAUACAUGAUGAUAAGGAAUUUCGAGAACAAUAUUUGGAAUAGUAUAAAAUUUAUACAUAUACCAGCAGUUCAAGAUACAAAGAGAAAACAUACCAAAGCAUGAGAUGAGGGAGUGAUUCUGAGCAGAUGUAAUCGGCCUUUUGCCAUCAUAAUCUGGAGAAGAGCAAAAAUUAAAAAUAACAUCCAGGCCCAAAAAAUACAGCUGAACAAGAAUAAUAAUUAAAGGAUACAAAUAGUGUACCUUAGGCUGGUUACUGUACCCAUGCCAAUUCUGAAUUCCCAAUUCAUGGGACAAGUGCAUAGAACCAGCAAGGGCCAUGCUCGAGAAAAAGCCAAGAUACCUCUAUGGGCACAAUAUCAUAAUGCACUUCAACACUGUCUAUCUUGGACAACACCGAUAAUUUACUGUUGAAAGGGCAAAGCAAUCCCACAGGUCCCAAACUACUGCACUAUUAAGGCACCUGGCUGCAUGAACUAAAAUUCAGUAAACAGAAAGAAAGAAAUGUACCCAGCAACUACAAACCAACCUCAUGAACUCUUUAAAACAACAAUUGCUAUAUAAGUAUUAUGCGGUGAAGUAGUUCAAUAGGACAGUAUCAAACCGAAGAAACCUUCACACUAGUUAACAAAAUGUUUGGCACUAUUAAAAAAGAAACAAAGACACUGAAGAACCAAGACACAUCUAACUGCAGAGCCUGAAAAAUCAUAAGCAUAGAUUGUACAACUUUUGUCUCAAUCACAUCUUCCUCCAUACCAAAUAUUUUGUUAUGUAAUCAACUAUGUUCCAAGUUCUCGCCAGGAAAAAAGCCAGCUGACGUUAACAAAGCCACAACUGGAUAAUCUACCUUUUUCACGAGAUCGAACUGCAAGAUUAGGCCCAAUAUGGAUAGUAUACACAGAUUAUGCACACCCUGUCAUAUAUGAAAAUGAUCCUCCAAAAACCCAAAACAUAAGUGGCUCAAACUACAAAUUUUUUGGGAUUCACGACCGAACUUUUCAUACAUAAAUUUCUUACACUAAAACUCCAGACAAUUAGCAUUUUAAGAUGAAAAUUGAAAUCCCUAACUUCUCAUGUUAAAACUGUCGACAAUUCCAAAUAAGGGCAAACUUAGAUGUUUCCCACCAUUAGGUUCCAAGAAACGGAAAAAUCCAGUGAAAAACAGCGGAAUUAUCGCACAAGACCAAGCCUCUUCUAGGGAGGCGAAAAAUACAAAGUUCCAAUUAUCCUUUUUCUUUACCUUUUCUUUUUCCAACCAGUUUCUCAGUAACUAGACGGCGCCGACGGCAAAAUGUAUGGGCAUCACUCCAACUCAAAAACCCUAGAUUGCAAAAUGCAUAUAAAGUAAUCUCGUAUGAAUCAUUAAUUGCGAAAAUAUUCAAUGUUACCUUUCUUGGAACCGAAACAGAAAAUGGUUUUCAGUUUUCCGCUGGAGCCAGUGGCGGAGCCACACAAAGCCUAGUCCCCCACCCCGAAAUUGGAAAAAAAAAAUGGCACUAAAUGGAUUGACACUUUUCCCUUGAUUUGCUUAAAGCCAAAGAUACAAUUAGGCUAUGUAACUGCCUCCUGGAAAUAAAUUAUCAUUCUUGCCCCCGUUAACUUGUUUUCUGGCUCCGCCGCUUGCUGAAGCUGCAGAAAAAGCUGAGAAAACGGUUGAUGAUAUAACAUGCGCCGGGAGUUCUGUUUCCGGUGGUCAAAUAAUAUUCCGGAUAUUCGAUAGUUUUGCUGUGCUUACGGGACUCCGACGUUCUAUCUUGCUUUUUCUGGCGGUUCAAUUUCAGCGGGUUAAAUGUUCGGGAUGUAACUGUGCUUACGUGAGACUCCGGCGGUUCUAUCUAGUUUUUUACUUUUUUCUGGCUAUUGAAUUUGGGCAUGCUAAUUUGGGCCAAAAUGGACUUUUUCUUAGACUUGGGCUUCUUCCGAAACUAAUAUUCAAAAUAGCCCCCAUCAAUCCAUAUAAGCAUAAAACCCAGUCUUUUAUACUAUUUUUGUUUACUUUCCCAGCUUCCCAUCCCAUGCUCUAUUCUCUGUGUAAUUUUUUUCUUCAAAACCCUAGCCCCACCAGUAGGCUAUUGUGAGAGAGACAUUAUUGGAGCUACAAAGCAUCAAGGUUGAGAUUGGUCCCAAUCUUCUUUUUGACUUAUUUUAUGUAAAGUUUUUGGCAUUUUCCCUUUUUUUUUCCCAUCUCGGAAUCUCGGUUUUCAAAAUAUUUUUUUUCUCAUUGCUUUUGGUUUUCUCUUUUGUUUACAUCAUUCACGGCUAUUUUAGCAUAAAUGGUUUGUUAUCAUCCAAAGAUUGAAGCCCUUUUAAGAUGCAAACAUUUGUUGAAGUUUCUAGGGAAAAUGAAAAUUUAUGGGGAAAAUGAAAAUUUAUAGGGAAAAUGAAAUUUUCUGAGGAAAAAUGAUAGAUUUGUGAUUCUAAUAUCUGGCAUUUAUUCAAGUCUAUUUUUUUAUCCCUUUUCUAUUGGGACUUUGGGAUAAUGGAUUUUAUAUCCUUCUUUAAAGUUGUUUUCCAUCGCAUCCUAACUCAAGAGAUACAUGUGAGCUUGGUGUCUCACACAGGUUGUAUAUUGUGAUGAUUAAUGUCUUGAGGGUUGGUUUCAGCUUCGGCCUUGUUAGCUUGAGCAUCAUAUAGGGUAACCUGCAUGGAAAAACAAGGCUCGAUUUUGUAGCAUCUGGUUCUGGAUCUGGAUCCGCAACGCACUUAAAUGGUCCAACUUUGAUUUCUCCGAUGAAUUAGUUCACUUUUUUUUUCCUUUUUUGUUUGGUAAUAAAAUGCUUUUAGGUCUUAACUGGUUUUUAGCUUGAAGGUGCUCAUUACAAUGCUCGAUAGCUUGAAGCUACAGUUGAGUCGUCAAGUAGCAAAAGAAAGGGUUUAUUUAAGGGUUUUCGGUCUUUCAUGUCAAUUAUUAUUAAAUUAACACUACUUAUAAUAUAAUUUAUAUCAUCUACAUCAAAGACUUAUUAUUACUUAUUAAAAAUAAAAAUAACUAUAUAAUUGUAAUAUCUUUUACUAUCCUAAACUCGCUUUUAGAUUUUUCAAGGGCUUAAUGUUAAGUUUUUAACUUUUGUAAAUUUGAUAAUAUCAUUACUAAGUUUAUAAAAUAUUUAUAUAUUUGGAUAUUUAAAUGAAUAAAUGAAUAUAAUAAUUAAAAUUUGAAGGUGUAGUAGAGUCAUUUUUAUAAAUAUAUCAUAUUUAAAUACUUCACUUUUAAAUAAACUUCAUAAAAUAUACUGUUAUUUAUUUUUAUUUUCAUAUUUUCAAUUGCUAAUUUACUUAAUAUCUUGUUUUUAAAAAAAUAUUAUUAUUUAAUUUUAUGACAAGUCAACACAAUACAUGAAUAAUUUUAACAAUUAAAAUAUUAAUCAUAUUUAUUUUGACACAUUAAAAUCUAUAUAUAGACCCGAUGUGAUUUGAUUGGUCAUUUUUUUUCAAUAUGUAUCGAAUCAAUUCGGCAACUGGACUGAGAUCGCAACGAAAAUUUGGAGACAUGAUGGGCCCUAGAUACAGUAAGAAGAGUAAGAGAAAAAAAUUAUGUCAUUCAUCACUUCUUGCUCAUUGGAUCUCUUCAUGUAUGGGUUUGUGAGAAACUAACCAAUAAAUGUUUCGCAACAUUAUCCCUUCUAUAAGAUAAAAGAAACAGAUCCUUCGUAGAAGGAUGAGUCCAUAUCACUCGAGGUUUGCUUUACCACCAGCUAACUAGAUCCAAUUCCACACUAACUAAGUCAGCUUGAAGGUUACCUACUUGAUAUUCUCCACUUAUGGGAGUAAAUUGUAUUAUUCAUUCUAUUAUGGUAACAAGGUUUUUAAUUGUAUGUUACAUAUAUAAAACAACAUAAUAACCUUAGGAGAUGGUUUUUGUGAAACCAAGGUUUGGUUAAUCUUGAUUUUGAUGAUAACAAAACAAGGUUUAGAACUAAUGAUCAUAUUUCAAGUGUGAUUAGGCAAGACGGUUUCCAAAGUGGCAAUUACAAAGAUAAAUCAAGCCAAGGAGAAAUCAUGAAGAAGAAGACCACCUCAAAGAAAAGAGUUUUUCAAGACCAAAGCUUCAUAAGAUCUCUUUGUAAGGUUGUUGGUGCACUAGAACUUUCAUACAUUUCAAUUCUUUAUUUAUGCACCAAAAUCAUCUAAGAGUAAUAAAACAAUCUUAAGAAUUGGAUGAUUUCAUGUUUUCAACUAAAACCUUGUGUUAAAUGAUUUUCAAACUUGUGUUAAAAGGUUUUAAGUUGAAAAAAGUUGGGUGUUGAGCCAAAAAAUGGCUCAACCGGUUCAACCGGUCAACCGGUUGUGCUCGUCCAGUCGAGGACCAGUUAAGGGAGGCCAAAAAGUUUUUCUCUCUCACAAUGACCUUUUCUUCCCGGUCAAGGUUGAACCUCAACCGGUUGAGGUCCGGUUGAGACCCAACAGUUACCUGCCAAGCAUUUAAUGCUAACGGUUAGUCAACCGGUCGAUCCCUAACUUGACCGGUCGAACCCCCAAUGGCUAGUUUGACUUUUUUCUUCUAUAAAAAGGCUCAAAUCUUCAUUGUUUCAAGAGCUUAACCUUCCAAAAUCUUUCUUGAUUAUAUUUGAGCCUUAGAAGAAUAUUUUUUAGUGCACCAUUUAAUCCUAGUUUUUCUUGUAUCAUUUGAGCUUAAAGUUCUUGUGCUAUGAUUUUUGAAGGAUCAUUCAUUUGUAAAUAUUUGAGAGGAAGUUUCUCAAGUGUGGGGUAUCACUUGAGGAAUUGUUCAAGAGUGGGAUAUCUCUUGAGAAGUGUAAAGGGUGCUUGAAGCCAAAAGUCCAAAAGGGUGAAUUAGAACCAUAAUCCAAUUGUAUUGCUUGAAGGUUUGGUUUGGAAGCCUUGGAUUAGUGGAACCUCAAGCUCGGGAUUGAAGUUAGAGGAGAGUGGAUGUAGGCCGGGUUGCGCCGAACCACUAUAAACUCUUAUGUUUGCAUUCUCUCUUCCCUACUCUUUAUUUUAUAUGCAAUUGUCUAUAUAUUGAUUAUUAUAUACUUACAUAUAAUUGUCUAUUGCAUUCACUUAUUUAAAUUUGCGAAAAGAGACCAUCACCCUAUUCACCCCCCCCCCCUCUAGGGUGAUUACCAUAGGUUGGAUUAGCCUCAAAUUUUUAACAGUUUUUAUUUAUGAGAUAUUGAUUUUUUUUUUUUACAAGGUUCUUUAAAAAAUCUCAAUUUUUUUGAAAAUAACAUAUUUAGCAUAUAUUUAUUUUGAAAAAUAUAUUUAACAUAUAAUUUUUAGUUGUAAAAAAAUUAACAUACUUAACAAAUAUUUAUUUUAACAUUUAAUUUUCAAUAUAAAAAUAUUAAUUUUAUUUUAUCAAUAAAAUAUUAAAAGUUAAUUUCAUCCUAAUUAUCAAAAUAGAAAAACAAACUAAACGUGUUUGUAACCCAAACACAUGUAAAACAUUUUAUUGGACCAAAAAAUAAAAUAAAAUAAAAUACGUCAAAUUACGCAAUAACAUACAUAGUAGUGAGCUCAAUAGUUUCUCAACAUCCAAACAAGAGAAUUACCAUUAGAUAGUUUUCUAAAAAUAUUUUAUAAAUUUUUGUAUUGUAUAUAAGUAUGUUGUAAUUCUAUGAAUAAUAAGUUGAGCCAAUUGUAUUUCAUAUUUCAUAUUUCAAUUCUCAAACAUAAAUUUGUUCUUAAAAACAAUUUUGAAGAACUAUAAAAUAGAGUUAGUUGACUAGUCUUUUUAUAUGUAAUAUAUGUUAUUGGAACUCGGGAACUUCCUUAGUAGCCUUUUAUUAUUUUUUUUUUCAUGUGUUUGUAUAGUCACCCAUAUUUUCAAACGUACCAUCAAUGCAACACUUUACUUAUUCAGACCUACUAUCAGUGUAACCCCCUACCUCUUUAGACCCACUAUCAGUACAACCCCCUAUUUCUUUAGACUUAUCUUCAAUUUAGGUCCCUAUUUCUUCAAACCCACCAUCAGCAUAACCCAUUGCCUCUUCAGACUCAUCAUCAGUACAACCCCCUAGCUCUUUAAACUUACCUCCAUUACAACCUUCUAUCACUUCAGACCCAUCAUCAGUGCAGAUUGACACAUCUACUCAGCUAGAUUUACCGUCAAUCAUUCCGAGGGGUAGGCGGGGUCUACGUCGACCUAGAUUGCUACCUCCACUACCAUCUCUAUUUCCAGCUCCAGUCCCAUCAUAGACAGAUGUUCUUCAUAUGUCACAUGCAAUACCUGUUACAGUUAGAGAUGAGCAUUCAAAAAGGAAGAUGGUACUAGUUACACAUAGGUUCUCUCAUUAUGGAGGCAUAUGAAAUUAUAUAUGUUUUUUUUUUUCCACUAUAUUAAUGUUGACUAGAUAUUUUUCGUGACUUUGAUUAAACUACUAAAAAUUACAAUUUGUAGUAAACUUUUUCUAAUUAAUUUCAUUAACUAAUUUUGUAGAAAAAUUUAUAUAUGAUAACUGCGACUUAAGAGUGUACUAUUAUUUCGAUAAAGAUAAAUUUUUCAUAAUACAAAUAAAUUAAUAUUUUAAAAAACAACAAAUUAAAUAUCUUAAAUUAAUAAAUUAUACAAUUUUAUAUAUUAUUUAUAUGUUAUAUAAGUUUAUUAUUUUAAGAUUAUUAAUUUAUUAAUAAAUAAAAUAUUUAUUUAUAAUAUCUUCUAUUUAUCAAUUUAUGUUUGUUGAAGUAAUACUAGAUUCUUAAGUUUAAAUAUAAAUAAUUUAUUAUUAAAGUACAUAUUUUUAAUUUCAAUAAUAAGUUAUAAUUUAAUAGUUUUUAAUUAAAUUUGAAAAUAAAAAAAAUUAUAAUUGAAAUCUUAAUUAGCAACAGCGGUUUAAAAGUAUACUAUUAUUUCGAUAAAGAUAAAUUUGUUAUAAUACAAUUAAAUUAAUAUCUUAAAAAAUAACAAACUAAAUAAUUGAAAUUAAUAAAUUAUACAAUUUUAUAUAUUAUUUAUAUGUUAUAUAAGUUUAUUAUUUUAAGAUUAUUAAUUUAUUAAUAAAUAAAAUAUUUAUUUAUAAUAUCUUCUAUUUAUCAAUUUAUGUUUGUUGAAGUAAUACCAGAUUCUUAAGUUUAAAUAUAAAUAAUUUAUUAUUAAAGUAUAUAUUUUAAAUUUCAAUAAUAAAUUGUAAUUUAAUAGUUUUUAAUUAAAUUUGAAAGUAAGAAAAAAAAUUAUAAUUGAAAUCUCAGUUAGCAACUACGGCUUAAAAGUAUAUUAUUAUUUCAAUAAAUAUAAAUUUGUCAUAAUACAAAUAAAUUAAUAUCUUAAAAAACAAUAAAUUAAAUAUCUUAAAUUAAUAAAUUAUACAAUUUAUAUAUAUUAUUUACAUGUUAUAUAAGUUUAUUAUUUUAAUAUUAUUAAUAAAUAAAAUAUUCAUUUAUAAUAUCUUCUAUUUAUCAAUUUAUGUGUGUUGAAGUAAUACUAGAUUCUUAAGUUUAAAUAUAAAUAAUUUAUUAUUUAAGCAUAUUUUUUAAAUUUCAAUCAUAAAUUGUAAUUUAAUAAUUUUUAAAUUAAAAAAAAUUAACUAAAGUUUCAGUUGGAAACUGCGACUUUAGUUCAAAAAUGAAACCUCGGUUGACAACUGCGAAUUUAGUUAAAAAAAAAUAAAGCCUCAGUUGGCAACCAUGACUUUAGUUAAAAAAUGAAGUCUCAAUUGCCAAUUGAAACUUUAGUUUAAAAAUGAUGCCUUAGUUGGUAAUUGCAGCUUCAGUUCAAAAAUGAAGCCUCAAUUGACAACUGAGGCUUUAACUAAAAUGAUGAAAAAAAUAUAUUUUUUAAUGACAUGACACCUACGUGGCAACAAAGAGGUCAAUUUGAACAUAAGUUUCAAAAAGUGGUUAGAUCUUAUAUUUUUUUUAAUAAAUGGGUCAUUUUUACCCAAAACUCAACAUUCGGGAUGUACGAUAGUUUUACUGUGCUUACAUGUGACUCCUGCGAUUCUAUCUUGUCAUUUCUAGGUGUUCCCCAGUCAACCUAAGAAUUGUGCAUGUUUGAACGAUUAUUAUUAAUAUUUGGGUUGGAAAAGAGGUUGGUUUGUUAUCACAUAACUCAAUUUGAAUUAAAUUUAGAUUAAGAUUCUAAUAACUCGAAUAUAACAGAAUCUAAUUUAAUAAUUUUAUAAUAUUAAUAAUACAUAUUAUCUUAUAUAUUGAUUAUUUUUUAUAUAUAUACUUAAGAAAAAAAAUACCACAUUAUAAUUAUAUUAUGUUUUUCAUUUUUUUAAAUGAUGCAUACAUGUAAUUUUACUUUUUUGUCAUUAACUUACCAAUUUAAAUCUUAAUAUAAAUAUACAAAAAAAAUUAAAAACAAUGUGGAUAGACUUUUAAUUAUAUAAUCUAAUAAAUCCAAUCAACUUGAGUUUAACCUAACUAAUUCAGGUCUAUUCCGACCAAUAUGAACUCAAUUGAAGUUUAAAAAAAUGAUUUUGAUUAAACUUGGAUGGAGUGUUUUGGGUUAUAAGUGAAUGCAGUUGAGUUGAUUGUUUUUUAAUUCGAGUUAGGUUUGAGUUAGUCAUCAACCAAACUUAACCCACCUAAGUUUCGGUCUUCAUUUUUAUUUUAUUUUAUUCAUUUCAUCUAGACAUAACAUUCGACACUAACAUUGGUGCCACCAUUAAAAGAAUGUUGAUGUGUCAAAUAAGUCUUCCAUUCAUGUUAUUUAAUUAGUAAACUAAUAAUUUUAUUCCUAUGGAGAUGAAUGGUUUGAUUGAAAAGGCACAAUGACCUACUAUAAUAUGGGUUGAGCUUUGGAAGCCCACGUUAACCUUGUGUUAUGUGUUCUUCAUUUGGUUGACAAGUAGAAUCGUGCUUUAAGUGAGAUGUGCUUCCAUUAUUAUGAAAAAUAACAUAAUCGGCUACAGAGGGUGACUACAUUAGUAAAAUUAAUUUUGAUGCCUAUUAUAAGAGACGACAAAUAAUGGUACAUAAAGAUAAAGAGUGAGUUAAAUUACCCUUGGUAAUAAUCCGUGUAGGCAUUUAAAGACAUUCAAUUAGGUCAGUUAAGACCAACGGGCAUCUCGAUGAUUGAAUAAUGUACAAUGUUCACAUCUUAUUAAUUUUUCAUCAAAUAAUAAUCACAAGUCUUUUGAUAUAGAGAUAAGGUUUUAAGCAUACCAUAAUUAUGAAGAAAAUGUUUGAUUGCUUUUAAUAUUCAUCUCAUCAAUUGGUUAGCAAGCCAUCUCAUAUGAAAGGUAGACAUUAAAGGAGUAAUACAUUUGUACUCUUAAAAGGCAACCAGGUUAUCUCUUUCUCAGUCUACACAUACCCCGAUUUGACAUACAUCAAUCAUUUCUUACAUCUCCACAACUCAUAACCCCCAUCCUCUUUAAUUUCAUUUUCCUACAUGGGAGUUAUUGGGAAGAAAAAUCGAAAGUUGACAUAGUAACAAGUGCAUUCCCCAAUGAUAAGCAAAACAAGAUGAUUAUUGUCUCAUCUUGAUUUUUGAAAUGGUCUUUAGUUUGCUACAUGUAUAAAAGACAUUUUCCUGUUGUAUUUUUUUCUUUUUCUUAUUUUUCCUAUCUUCGACUUAUUCCAUGCUCUUAUGAUUCCACUUAUCCACUUCUCUCUAACCAUGCACUCAUCACUUUUAUUUAAGGUAUCUGUCAUGGUUGUUGAUGAAGUUGUCAUGUUGGUCUAUUGAUUUAAGAUAUUUUAUUAUGUGAAUGUUGAAUGUCUUUUCCAUAAGGACCAAUUACGACCCUUGCAUGUCGAUGAGGGUUGCAUUCUAAUUGAACACCUAAAAGUUAGGCUUCAUCUUUCUUCUUCCUCCAUUUUGAGGCCUUUUUAAAGAUAUAUGAAGGUGUUAUUACAUUGGUUCAAUCCCAAACUACAAGUGUUCUCAUGGUAAUCGUAGUGAUGAAAAUGACAUCUAAUUACCACAUGAGAUUAAGGGAAUUGUUAUUACUAUAUCAAGUUAAAAGGCAUAGUGUUGUUUUUAAAAGAAUGUUGACGUGUCAAAUAAGCCUUCCAUUUAUGUGAGCAACUAGACAAUUAAAACGAGGGUUCAAAAUUGUACAAGAAAUAUAACUUAGCAUGACAUCUUUGUGUUUAUAUCCAAGGAGCUUCGUGAAACGCAUGUAUAGUGGUUUGUUUGCGGUGAUCAAAUAGGCGAUGAAUAAAGCAUAUUUCUUGACAUAUCUUUGCAAUAUUUGUAAAGCUUUAGAUAAGAUGUUUCUUUUAUUAGGAAAGUGAUGUUCAUGGGUAAACCUACAUGUUGUUUAAUUAAUAAACUAAUAAUUUUAGACCCAUGAAGAUGAAUGGUUUGAUUCAAGAGGCAUAAGAGCCUAAUGUAAUUUAGGUUGAGCUUUGGAAGCCCACGUUAACCUUGUGUUACGUGUCCUUCAUUUGGUUGACAAGUAGAAUCGUGUUUCAAGUGGCAUGUGUUUCCAUCCCUACGAGAAAGAACAUAAUUGAUUAAAGAGGGUGACUAUGAUAGUAAAAUUAAUUUUAAUACUUAUUAUAAGAGUCAACAAAUAAUAGUAACGAGAGAAAAUGACUGUGAGAUUACCCUUGGUUGUUAUCUAUGUAAGUAUUUAAAAGCAUUUAAUUAGGCUAGUUAAGACCAAUGGGCAUUUCAAUGCUUGAAUAAUGUACAAUGUUCAUACCUCAUUACUGUUUCAUCAAACAAUGAUCACAAGCCUUUUGAUAUGAGAGUAAGGCUUUAAGCAUGCCAUAAGUAAGAAGAUGUCUAAUUGCAUUUAAUGUUCAUCUUAUCAAUUGGUUAGUGAGUCAUCUCACACGAAAGAUAGACAUCAAAGGAGUAAUACAUUCGUACUUCUAAUAGACAACUAAGUUAUCACUUUCUUAAGUUUAUGCAUGCAUUGAUUAUCUCUUACGUCCCCACAAUUCCUAAACCUCCUCCUCCCUUCUUCUUUAAUCUUAUUUUCCUACAUGAGAGUUAUUAGGAAAGAAAAUCAAAAGUUCAUAGUAACAAAUGCAUUCCCCAAUAGAUUUGAUAAGUACGAUAAGAAUAUUACUCUCUCGUCUUGAUUUUUGCAAUGAUCUUUAGUCUACUACCUAUAUAAAACGUAUUUUCUUGUUGCAUUUUUUAUUCCUUUUAUUUUUCCAAUAUUCAACUUCUUACACGCUCUUGUGAUUCCACUUCUCUAGUUCUUACUGCUCAUGCACUCAUCACAUUAGUUUAAGGUACUUGUCAUGGUUGCUAAUGAAGUUCUCGUGUUGGUCCAUCAAUUUAAGAUAUUUUCUUAUGUGAAGGUUAUAUGUCUUUUCCAUAAGGACAAAUUAUGACCCUUACAUGUUGAUGAGGGUUACAUCCUAGUGAAGCACCUACAGUUAGGCUUCAUUUCCCUUCAACAUUCCAUUUUGAGGCAAUUUUUUUAGCUUUAUGAAGAUGUUAUUACAUUGGUUCAAUCCUAAACUACAAGUGUCCUUAUGGUGACAUUUAAUUACCACAUGGGAUUAGGGGAACUUUUAUUACUCAAUCAAGUUAAGAGACAUAGUGUUAACACUUGGUACAUAUUUGUGAUGAUGAAAAUUAGUGUAUAAUGCAUAUACCUCAUUAAUGCUGUGUCAAGUGAUGGUUAUAGUUCCCAUAAUUUGGACUUAAGGUAUUACACACAUCAUAAUAAUAAAAAAUGCGUUCAAUCACAUUUAGAAUCUGUUUGGUAGUGAUUAUAGAUAGCGCUUUUAAUAUUUUUAAUAUUUGAAAAAUUGUAUCAUUUAAGUGUUAAAAAUGUUUUCUAAAAUCAUUCCUAAACGUACUCUUAAUGUGAAUUUCAUCACAUUAAACACUUUAGUAAUCAUUGUGAAUCUCAUCGAUGGUUAAUAUGUCGAUUGAUUGUUCAAUAUCUCGUGUCUAAUCAUUUUUUUUCCUUUAUGUUUUGAUAUAAAACUAAAGUUGAAAUCAUUUGUACUUUAUGUUCUAAUCUUCAUUAAAUACACUUAAUACCUAUUAAAAAUUACAUUCAUUUCAUACUAUACUUGUCCUAUAUGGUAGUUAAAUUCAAAUUUUCAUCAAUUGUGACCAUGGAAGGCAUUGAUUAACCUUUGAAAAAGCAUUUAAAAAUUGCAAAUAUUACCUAAGAAAUUAAAUGUAGGUUGGAGGACCCCUUAGUUCAUAAAUUAUUAAACCUAAUGUAAAAGAAGCUUGAGAACAUCCUUGUAGACCUAUUUUGCUGAACCAUAACAAAAUCACUAUUAUAUUAUUUAUUUGUAUAUUUAUUUUUGAUAAUUUAUUUGUUGGUUGCAUACUUGCCCACUAGAAUUGGAGUCUACCAUUUAUAUUUUAGGGGCACAAGUUUGGUCCAUUGACCCAAAACCCAGCAAAGCUUACAUCUAAGCUCAAGUCAAAAUUAUUUGGCUUUUCUAAGCAUCAGCCUGGCCCAUGAAGUUCUCUUUAAAUUCCUCCAUGAAGACAGAUUGAAGUAGGCAUAUUUUCAAGGUUGAAAUAAUAACAUUUUAUUAAACGUUUGGGCCUAGAGUUGGGCUUAGUUUAUGGAUCAAAUUUUCAGCUCAAUCCGAGCCCAAGAGGGCGAAGGCCUGCCCAACAUGGCUUAUUUACAUGCCUAGCAUCACCAUUUACCAAGAUGCAAAUGAAACUUUAGGCUUAAUUUAAAUCAUGGGUGGUGCUAUAGCAAGGAAACAAAUUAUGCUCUUUCACUCCCAUGUGUUUUCUUAUUUUUUAGAGUUAAUUGGUUAAAAAAGGGAUGAAAUAAUCUUCAUAUUUGUGAAUUUAACCUCUUUCAUUUUUUUUUGAAAAAUAAUUCAUUUAUGAAAUAAAUAUCUUUAUUUAUUUCAAGUAUUUACACGUAAGUUUUAAAAGAAAAAAUUAUUUUUACAAAAAAAAUAAUUAGGACAUUUUUAUCAAAAUGUGGUCAUAAAAGGAUGGAAGGUUAGAUUUCUAAAAUUAGGUUUCCAAAUGACCAUUUUAAUUAAAUAACAUUUUUUUUAUUCUGCAAAAUCGAGUUUAAAAUGAAGCAAAAUAAAGAAUAAAUUUAAAUUUAAUAACUUUUUUUUUUUCCAUAAGGAAGAUAACAAAACAAAUAAAAAAAAUUAGUGAUUGUUUUUUUUUUUUUCAAUUUUUUAAUUUUUUUUUAACCUAAAAUAUAGUCAUACUUAUAUAAAAAGUGUGGGCUUAACUUUAUGUCCUUAAAAAUUGUUCUUAAAAUUUAUAAAAUUUUAAUUAAUAAAGUCUAUAACAAGGAAAGAAAAAAGAGAACCUCUCGCUGGGUCCUGCAAUCCUUUGCCCAUUCCCUUUUCCAAGCAGUUAUGUUAUGAUGGGUUAACCAAAAGGGAGUAACCACUAAGUUUGAAGGGGGCCAACGGUCAUAUUCUAGUAUUUCAAAUUCAAAAUCCGUCCGCUCAUUUGAUUUGAACAAAUAGAAGCCAUGAGAGGGUUUAUUUGGGUCGAACCGACCCAACCUGACACCAGGAACGCACGUGAUGAGGACUAUUUAUCACGUGACAGGCCUCUAUUUGAAUUCGGACCCAGCGACUUUCUCCAAAUCAGUUUAAUUAUCGAUCCUCAUACAUCACCCCGUUUGUCCCUUCCGCUCAAUUCAAAAAACCAAAGCCCUCCAUCUUUCUCUCUCCUCCUCCCAUAGCCGUUCCCUUCAACCUCUCGUUUCCUCUUCCUCCCAUUUCCACAGGUAUGUCAUCUCAUCCACGCUGAAACGGAUCCGUUUUAUCAGAUCCAUCAUUCCUCAGCUCACGACCUUUCUUUUCAAAUAUCCAUAGGCAUUCUCCUUCUGGGGAUCUCCGAUGGCAUGCUGAUCCGAUUAUUCUGUUCAUCAUUUGUGUAUUUUAGCCCCUAAUUCAUCAUUUUCUUCACAUUUUUGGGUUAAAGUCCGAGAUAGAAGGUGGAGAUGGAAGUUUCCCGUGCGGAAUGUGUUCGCGUUGCGGUUAACAUAAGACCACUCAUUACAUCAGAGCUUCUCAUUGGCUGUACAGAUUGCAUAACAGUGGUUCCUGGAGAGCCACAGGUAUGGUGUUUAAUUGAUAAGAAAAUGCAAGAUAGGAAUAAGAAUUGAGAUUUUUGAAUCUUAGGGUUUAUUGUUUGGAACAAGGAAAAACUAGAAUGAUUUUAGCUUUGGUGUGUUUUUUGUUUUAUAAGAAUAAAAACUAUUCAGAAUUAAGAAUCCUAUUUUCUUUUAUCAUUAGUCUGUUUCUUGUCUAGCAAAAAUAUAAUAAAAUAAAAUAAAAACAAUCAUUACUCAGUUUUCUGAGAAACAAAUGAAGGGUUGAAUUGAUGUAUUUUGAGAUUAACUUCCAGAUUUCUUGAUCUUAGUGUUUGAUUUGUAAUUGUUAUUGGGUGCACGACCAGGUUCAAAUUGGAUCCCAUGCAUUCACAUUUGAUUAUGUUUACGGCAGCACUGGAUCUCGAUCUUCUGCAAUAUUUGAUGACUGUAUUUAUCCACUCCUUGAUGCACUUUUCCAUGGCUACAAUGCAACAGUUCUUGCAUAUGGCCAGGUUUAAUAUUUGUUUAGUCAUUUUAGUGGAUUCUUAAUUAAAUUAAAUUUUCAUGUUUUGGAGCUUUUAUGGCUGACUCAGCUCUCUUUGGCAUGCAAGACGGGCUCGGGGAAAACAUACACAAUGGGAACCAAUUAUACAGGAGAAGAAAGUAGUGGUGGAAUUAUACCAAAAGUUAUGGAAAGUAUAUUUUCAAGAGUGGAGGCCAUGAAAGACUCCACCGAAUUUUUAAUUAGAGUAUCAUUUAUCGAGGUAACAUAAGCUUCUUUAUCAGUUUUCUUCUUUUCUUUAUCUGCCCAUAUAGUGCGUGAUUACGUCCUUACAUGUAAUUUCAAUAAUUGACAGAUUUUUAAGGAAGAAGUAUUUGAUUUGCUUGACCCAAAUUCAUCAGCUACCUCCAAAGUUGAAGGGGUAUGUGUAACUAAGCCUACUGGACCAGCAAGAGUGCCUAUACAAAUUAGAGAAACAGUAAGCGGGGGCAUAACCCUUGCUGGCGUGACAGAAGCAGAAGUUAGGACAAAAGAAGAAAUGGCAUCAUACCUAUCACACGGUUCCACAGCUCGUGCUACUGGAAGUACUAAUAUGAAUAGUCAAUCAAGGUACCCAUUUCAUAGAGUUAUGCAUGUGUGAGUUUAUGGUGUUUUCUAAACUAUUGCAGACGGUUUAAUAUAGUCCAUAUCCACUUGGCUUAUUGCAAAGUAGUUUUAAUUGAAACAUUUAAAUCGUGCAUUAUGGUUAUUAUUGCUAGUGAUGUUUCUCUAUUAAUUAUGCAAAUCUGACUAGUAGAACUAUUCUUGUGUUUCCUAGGCACCAUUGAAGAAUCAGUGUUAAGUCAUGUUGAGUAUAAUUUUUUGUUCUCCCUAGUCCCUUUAGUACAUGAAAAAUAUAAUGUUCAUGUUAGAAUAUGUUAUACAUUGUGGACCUAAAAUAGAAGUUUUUAGGAAAGUUAGUAGUUCAACAUGGUUAGAGCAUGCUAUACAUAGUGGGUUCAAAUCCUAGCAGCUUAAACUUUUAGGAAAUUAGGUAGUUCAAUAUGGUAUAAGAGCUUUGGUUAAGUGGAGAUCUUGGUUUUAAGUACACCAUCCCCCCACCCACAUCUUUUAUCAUUUGUAGAAGGAAUCUAAAAUUGUCAAGUUACCCUGCUUCAUGACCAGUGGACAUGCCAUGUAUAUCCCUGACAUUAGCUCUGGCUCAUGGCAAAGUGACCAAACACCUUUAAGAGCUUUCCAAGCCAUUCUCACUAUUUUUGGGGGAAAUGUUAAGCAUCCCUCAGAGACACUUGUAGAGUUUGCUGAUAUUCAAACAGGUGUCCAUGGGAGGUUGCCUUAAAUAGGCUUUCUCUCCUGAAUCAACUCAUUGUAGAUGCUACGAAUAAAAAACAGAAUCACUCUCAAUGUAAGUUAUUCUGUAGUUUUUCAGCUGAGCUUUCUUUCUACACGCUUUGCUUUUUUUGAGGAUGAACCUUCACAACCCAACCCAACAACAAACCCCAACUCCACCCACUCCCCUUGGUAUGAGAGUAUGGACUGAACAUCAAUAUGUAUCUUGGAAGUUUUUAUUUAGGUAUUAUGAGGUUAAAAGAUGCUGGAUGUAAUUUGAUUAUGAGAGCGUGACUUCUAUUUACCCUGACUGUUUAAACAGCUCAUGUAGAUUUGCCAGCGAAAUCAAACUGCUGUCAUCCCUCUUUCAUGGAACAUAUUAAAAAAUGGAAGGCAUGCCAGUUUUGAAGGAUUAAAUUUUGCCUUGAUUGCACUCAAGAAAUUUUUUUCCCUGUUUAUUAAGCACAUGCUCUUACUGACCAGGGUCUCUCACAAAGUAGCCAUAUUGUACAUUGUGUGUGCUAGUUAAAUGGUUGAAGAUUGAGUAAUAAAAUGGCAGUUUGUGACUUCUUAUAGUUGAAGGCUACAUAACUAAGCACUAAAAUUUAAUAUCGAUAUUGCUCUAUGUUGUUGUGAUAUACUGCCUUACCAACAUAUACAUGAGAUCUCGGUCUUAGCAACCUCAAAAGCAAAAUAAACUUAGAAUGAUAAUUGGUGCUUACAACAGAGCUGUUAGUCUCUGCUCGAGAGUAUAAUUUUAAAAGGGAUUCUAAAAUAGAAGUGAGCUUAUCUAGGUGUCCCACUAGACAAUGGGCAUUCCACAAGAUAUGACUCUAACUUCAAAAUUUUUCAUUUUUCAUUGUCCUUCCAAAUGAAUUAAGUAGGUACUAAGUUCUCUAAUUGAGGAUAAGGCCAGCCAGAAAUUUCUCAUGUAUUCUUAUGCUCAUAUUUUCAUCUUGUAGUUUCAUUACAAACGGAAAGAAUCAGUUUGGGUCCUGACUGAUUCUUAUCAAAAUUGAUAGAGAUCGGGUUUCAAAAUAACCUUACUUAACAUAAUCAUCAACAUAUCAUUGAAAAGGAAUUUAUUUAUUCUCUCUCAACCUUCCUUGUCAAGGAUUGAAUUAGUUAGAGGCCUUCUUGCUGAUACUUAUCCAAUCAACAAAGUUACCUCAAGCAACUAUCUCUAGGAAGUUUCCUUAUAUUAAUCUAGUUUAUGAUAUGUUCAAGGUUAAAUUGCUUUCCUUGGUUAAUCUUACAUUUGUCUUGUGUGUGUAUGCUUCCUACUAUAGAAUUUAAUCCAACAAAACAAUGUCAAAUUUAUCUAUCUUUACAUUCACUUGUGACUUUUUAUUUUUGGUGUUUGAUUUUCCCUCAUAACCACAAAUUUUCUUUUCUUUAUUAGAUAUUAUACCAUAGUUUCAGUUUUUCUACUUGGGUUUUCAUUGUGUUUCAGUCGCUCGCAUGCCAUUUUCACAAUAUCUAUGGAGCAAAAGAAAAUUGCUCGUGUUGGAGUAAGUAAUGAUGAUGUGGGAGAUGAUAUCCUAUGUGCAAAACUCCAUUUAGUGGAUCUUGCUGGUUCUGAACGAGCAAAACGGACAGGAGCGGAUGGGAUGCGAUUUAAAGAAGGUAUUAAUUUCAAAACAUGCCUAAUUUGAGAAUGGAAUGGUGGGAAGAGGAAUGCUGUCAAAAUUUUCUACUUCUUUUCUUCUAAAUAUGAUGAUUAUUAUUUCAAGUUUCUUCAUUACCUUUCAACUUUUGAAGUACUAAGUCAAUAUUAGUAUUAUUAUUUUCGUUUUUGAUAAAAUGCUAAGUUGUUUUCUAAUGGUGUACAUGAUCAAGGAAUUCAUAUUAAUAAGGGAUUGCUUGCUCUUGGCAACGUGAUAAGUGCCUUGGGAGAUGAGAAGAAGCGGAAAGAAGGAGGUCAUGUUCCAUAUCGUGAUAGCAAGUUGACACGCCUAUUACAGGCAUGAGAACUAAAUAUUUCUUUCCUUUUUCCCUCUUUACAUUGGAUUUGUCAGUGUAUCGUUUCAAAUUGUGUUAUCCAUAGACUAUGUAUUGCUCUUAACAAAACUUUGAACAUCCUGUCCAUAUAUUCAAAUGAUUUUCUCAAAAGAUAGGAAUUGGCAUGCACUCCACAUUUUAAACCUCGACUCUUCAUAAAAAACAAAUAAAAUGGAUUAUAUAGAAGAAUAUGAUCCAUGAAUCAUAAUUUAUGAAAUGAUUCGAGGUUUAAACUCUUAAAGGUUGUUUUUGUGUCUUGUGGAGAUUUAGUGCACCAUAUUUUUCAUACCGCUAUAAUACCCAAUUUUAAGGUGUAACAUGGAGAGAUCACCAUAAGCACCAAAGAAAAACUAAGUUCAUUUAUUGAUAAUUGAAGGAAAAAACACAAAGAAUUCCUCAAUAUGCUUCAAAACACAAAUUCAGAUGCUUAUUGGGAGUUUUGAUGUUCUAGGAUUCUCUUGGAGGAAACAGCAAAACCGUCAUGAUUGGUAAGUACAUAAAUGUCUUCAUCAUGUUCAGCCUGUAUAAAACAUUUUGGAACUACUUAAGGCAUCUUAUAUUGUUCUCUUUCAUGACUCUAUUUUUCCUUCCUUUUUCUAAAUGUACAAAUACAGCUUGUGUUAGUCCUGCUGAUACAAAUGCAGAAGAGACCUUAAACACUUUGAAGUAUGCAAAUCGUGCUCGAAAUAUUCAGAACAAGGCAGUUGUAAGUUUCCUCUUCAAAGAUUAUUAUUAUUAUUAUUUUACGAUGUGGCUUCCCAUUAUUUUUUCCUGCUUGUAGAUCAACCGUGAUCCAAUGGCAGCUCAAAUGCAAAGAAUGCGGAGCCAAAUUGAGCAAUUACAGUCUGAGCUUCUUUAUUUCCGUGGCGAUGCUGGUGCUCCAUUUGAGGAACUUCAGGUACUAUAAGUAAAAGAGUGGUUACCAUGAACUCCUUAUAUAUUAAUUUUAGGUGUUAAAUUCAUUUUCCCUUUUCUUUUUCCCAGAUUCUCAAGCACAAAAUUUCUUUGCUUGAAGAGAGCAAUGCUGAGCUACAAAGGGAGCUUCAAGAGCGCCGAAUCACCUGUGAUCAUUUAACACAACGUGCUCUUGAUGCCCAGGUUUGUUUCAUUUGUUUCCACUGUUGUUAGAUGCUUUCAUAAGUUUCUCAAAACAUUUCUGCUGUGUUGUUUCAAAUGAUUUCACUCAUGGAUUGAAUAUUUUAGGUUGAAAAAGACAAAUUGAUUAUGAAAAUUGAAUCAGCCAGAAAUGGGAAAUCUUGGGAUGAGAUGGAGUCUGAUUCAGAUCAGGUUUGAGUAAAUUGGUUCAUUGCAUGGCACAUUUAACAGAUGCAUGUAUUGCAACUUUUUGAGAAACAUUUUUUUUCUGACAUAAUUUUGCGUACUCUUUUUCAGAAUUUUAGUCUGCUAAAAUCCUAUGUGUCAAAAAUUCAAGAAUUAGAGGGUGAAUUGUUGCACCUACAAAGUUUGAAUAGCUCAAAACAUAGUGAUUUUGUUGUUGAUGGCACUGACUUGGAUGAUGAUAGUCUCCGCGCAAAAAAUGCAUAUUUCAGAAGCCUUAAUGAGCUUUCAUCAGCUUGUGAUACAAAAGGUGCUGAUCACUAAUUUAUUUAUUUGUUUCUUUUGCUUGAUUUUUUUCUAGAAAAUUCAUAGUUCUAGGUGGGGCUUGUUUGUGGGGGUGGUUAGGGGGUUGUAGGAUAUAAAAUCAGUCUUUGACAUUCUUGUAUUUAUGAUGGAACUUCAUUAUCAAACAUUGGCUAUGACAAUUUUGGUCUUGGCUUAUUAAUUUUCCAGCUUGAUAUUUACUGACUUGCAAAUUUACAUUGGUGUGACUGCCAUCCAGGUGAGAUUGAAGAUGAUGAAAAGGAGUUAGAAUACACUUCCCUUCAAGAAAAAUUUGAUAUGGAGCUCAAAGAGUUGGACAAAAAACUUGAACAAAAAGAGGUAAAUCAUAAAUGGUUGCUGACCUUUUCAUUGGCUGGGACUCUUAUACCUUUUCAAAAAUUACAAACUUUUAGUUGGCUGAGACUUUAUUACUUGUAUGAAAAUGCUGAUUUAGAAAUUGGAGGAAAGUUUCUGCCAAAAUUUUCACAUAAAUGCGAUUAGUGUACAUCUGGGGCUUAAGUGGGAUUGCAGAAUAGGUUUGCUGAACAGACUCCCAAACCAUUAAACCAGGGAGCAAAUAUUUUGGAUAAUUAAAUGAGUGAAAACACAAUUUCAUAGGAAUGGCUCAAAUAGAUCUAACUUUAUAAUUAUUCAUUAUAUAAGGAAGAAAAUACUGAAGUUACAGUUCACUAAAUGGGUGUAAGAGCAAUGUCAUGGGCAUGCAAAGUCCUUAAGAGGCACCUAAUAUUCAAGGAAACACUAUGUAUAUGAAUUUCUAGUAUCCAUUUUUAUGUAGGUGUUGCUUGUUUUUUCAUUCUCUUCUGCUUUGGUUCCUUUGUUCAUUUCGAAUUUAUUUUAUUAUGCAAGGCUGAAAUGAAGCGGUUUGCAAGUGCUGAUACAUCAGUUCUUAAACUACAUUAUGAGAAGAAACUUCUGGAAUUGGAACAAGAGAAGAAAGCGUUGCAGGUAAUUGUUCUGUUCAUCAUAAUUAUUCUGUAAGUUAAGGUUAUUACUUAAAUAUUGCUUCUUUUUUUUUUUGUCAAUUGUUAGAAAGAGAUUGAGGAGCUGAGGCAUGACCUUGCAAGUAUUUCUUCCACUUCUGAUGAUGGUGCCCAAAAAUUAAAGGAAGAUUACCUUCAAAAAUUGAAUGUACUUGAAAAACAGGUGAAUCUGGAAUUCCUUGCUCCUUUCAAUGGUAAUUUCAUAUCUUAUAAUAUCAGAUUCUACAUUGCAGGUUUCAGAGUUGAAGAAGAAACAAGAUGCGCAAUCUCAACUCUUAAGACAAAAGCAAAAAAGUGAUGAGGCUGCAAAACGGUUACAGGAUGAGAUUCAGAGAAUAAAAUCCCAAAAGGUUCUAUUUUGUCAUUGAUGAAACUUGUCUACUUGCAAAAUGAAAAUCAAUUUGCUCUAACCAUCAAUGCUAUUUUAUCUAGGUUCAAUUGCAACAUAAGAUCAAGCAAGAAUCUGAGCAGUUUAGGUUAUGGAAGGCAUCGCGGGAAAAAGAAGUUCUUCAGGUACAUGCGUGCGUCAUUACAAAAUAUAUUUACACUUUUUGUUUUCAUCUUUACGGGCUUGAUUUAUGGUUGUAUAAAAUUUCAGAGGUACAAUUGCUUAAAAAAUCUUUUUAGUAGAAAUUUUGGUUAGUUUAUUUGCUCAUUAAAGAUUCAGUAUAGCAUAUAUGCUUCAAAAGUGGAAUCUCUUUUUCAAUAGCUCCAAAUUUACAAUCUGAGUGCUGUUUCUAACUCUGUUGAAUCAGCCCUUUGACAUAUUUGGGUGAAAACACUGAACUGUGUAUGUGUCAUGUGUUUGCAUAUUAUUUGUUUAAUUUUUUGCUUUGGCAAGGUUUUUUCAGAUUAGAUGUUAUUAUAAAUAUCUGGUCAAUGUUGAUUUGAUGAUCUGAGUUCUUUUAUGUUUUUUAAUCAAUUACCUAUGCAACUUGUUGUGAACCAUGGCUAUUUCUUUCAGUAAAGUAACAACAGAAUGAUGGUUGGAAGAAAGAAAAGAGAAUAGCCUUAAUUGAAUUCCUGCCCUCUUCUAAAUUGAAUUUUUGACGUUCAAAUUCAUUGAGCUUAGUUUAUUAGUGGACAUAUUGUCUUAUACCCAGAAAAAGCAUAUUUCCUGUUACAUUUAUGGAUGAAAAAGAAAACUAAGGUGACUUUGUUACUGUAAUUUAAAUUUCAAAUCAUUCUUGGCUUUUCCCAGUUUGAAUAAAUUGUAGUCCUCCUAGUGGAGAAUGGUAUGAACUUGGGAACAUGGGAUAGAUCUUUUCUAAAGUACUCUCCUUUACUAAAUGCUAGGUUUACAUUUAUAACUUGUUUUGCUAAAUCUUGUGGUUCUUGUUUUAUCUUGGUUUUCAGUUAUGUGGAAGCGUUUAAUCUCUUUGGCAAUAUUUUUUUCUGUCAACAGCUUAAGAAAGAGGGAAGGAGGAACGAGUAUGAGAUGCAUAAGCUAUUAGCUUUAAACCAAAGGCAAAAGAUGGUAAAUAAUCACCCCUAAGCUGCUAUGAUCUUCCUUGUUAAGGAGAACUUCUCACUUUCAUUUGUUCAUGUCAGGUUUUGCAACGAAAGACUGAAGAAGCUUCUAUGGCAACAAAGAGACUAAAAGAACUAUUAGAAUCUCGAAAGGCAUCAUCACGCGAAACAUUAGGUAAGGAGAUGUUACUGCUUCAUGCAGUUCACAUUUACUGAAACUACGUAUAAUUCAUCGGGCUAGGAGACCUUACUUCUUUGUGCAGUUCACAUUUACUGAAUCUACUUAUAAUUCAUUCUUGAAUUUUACUAAUGUAGGUGCUGGGAAUGGAAAUGGUCCUGGAGUUCAGGUAUCUUACCUAAUUUGAGAGUAUUGAGUUCUGUAUUUAUUGAAGACUGCAUUAUGUUUGUGUAUCAUGUCUUUUCCUGUGCCUGAGAUGAGGAUUGGGUUAGCAUUUCAGCAUAUCUUCUUGUUUGGAUGCCUGUCUGAGUAGGGAUUUGGUUAAGUACUACAGGUUUGUUUCCAGCACACUUCUUACUAACACAUUAUUUUAUAUUGAGAAGGCCCUGAUGCAGGCAAUUGAGCAUGAGCUUGAAGUCACAGUACGGGUACAUGAAGUGCGUUCUCAAUAUGAGCAUCAAAUGGAAGAGUGAGUGUUAUUAUUUUUUCUUUUUGCUACAAGAAAUCAACUCAGAAAUCUUUUAACUGUUUAACAUUAGGCUCUGUUGUUUGUUAGCAACUGAUAAAAAAAUGUCUAAAAGGGCUGAUGUCAGAUCUAUUUUGUUGAGACCAAGUUUCUAUCAAGUUUCAGGAGAAACAAACUGGAGUUCUCUAGCAUUUUAGCAUAAAAAAAUUCAAUUACUUUUGGGGAUGAUGAUUUGGUUUAAGUGGGCUUUUGUUGAUGGAGGAUCAUUCAGGUAAAAAUUGGCUUUAGUAUAAUCAAGAAGGAGAAGUUCAUCCUUAACAAUGGCAUAAAUGCUUGAAGUUUAUUCUUCAUUCUCUUCAUCAGUCUGAACCAUUAUCUACAUCUUUUAAGUUUCCAGUUUACUCGUAUUAGGUAAAAUUUUAAUAUAAGGAUUUGGGUUUACUCAAGCACAAUAAUCUUGUGUUUGCAUGUUUUUAAUUUUGAAAAUAUGUAUGGAGAAAAGCUUUUGAAAUGGCCUAUUUAGUCUAAAUGGUACAUAAUGUUGGUUUAAGCAUAUCUUCUGUGUAUUGCAGGAGAGCUAGGAUGGCCAGGGAGGUUGCAAAACUGAAGGAAGAAGCAGAUAUGCUGAAGCAAAAAGAUUUUGGGUGAGAAAUUUGUUGCUGAAAGUUGUUCUUUCUGCUAGUUUGUACUGCUUUCUUUUGACAUUAUUUUCCUACCAAUAGUUAGUGAACACCUUUUUCUGAAUGGAAUUGCAGAAGUUUCCCUGAGACAAUGUCUCCUGGUGCAAGAAAUUCUAGGAUUUUUGCUCUUGAAAACAUGCUCACUACAUCGUCUAGCACCCUGGUUUCUAUGGCAUCACAGUUAUCUGAAGCAGAAGAGCGUGAACGGGUCUUUAGCGGCAGGGGACGCUGGAACCAAGUUCGAUCUCUUGCUGAAGCAAAAAAUAUGAUGAAUUAUCUGUUCAACUUAGCAUCCUCAUCUAGGUAUUAAUUGUGUUCAAACUUAUUCGUGUGUGUAUUUCACCAUCUCAUCCCAUCUUGCUAUUUGCAUUUUGGUUCAUUAGUGUUUUGCUUCAGCCUCUGUUUUUCUUUACUUGGUUCAUGCAAGUACUCUUUCGUUAAUUCUUUCUUUUUAGUUGAAAAUUUGGACAUUGUUGUUGAACUAACUUUUUUUUAUUUUUUUUAUAAGUUUUGUUGUUGAUCUAACUAGUUCAUCUCUUUUUAUUUAUCCACUCUGAGUCAUACAUCUUCAUGCGUAUCCGUAUCUUGUUGAGAGAGAAGUGAGUGCAUUCUUGUUCAGCAUUAGCUGUAUGUCAUUUUUUUUUUAAAUAUGUUAAUUGGUAUUAAAGUUCCUGUUUCUUUCUUCUUCUUCUUCUUCUUCUUUUUUUUUUUUUGUGUGUUUUUUUUUUUUUUUUCUUUUUUGAGGUUGAAUCUGAAAGUAGGCAAUGAGUAGAUUUUGCUAAAAUUUGGUACAAUGUUGUUUGUGAUAAACUCAUUAAAUUUGUUCUUCAUUGUCUUGUGAAGGUGUAAGUUAUGGGAUAAAGAACUUGACAGCAGGGAGAAAGAUUCAGAAAUAAGAGACUUGAAGGAAAAAGUGGUCAAGCUCAGUGGUUUGGUUAGACAACUGGAAAUACAAAAGGCUGAACUUCUUCAUCGAGAGAAGCUACAGGUUAGUUAAUUUGGCUAUAUCACAUUGAUGAUAGUGCUUAAUCAUAACCAUUUAAUCAAUCAGCAUUUGUAUUGCAAUGGCACUAAAUUAAUGCAAAUAGAGCUUUGAGGGAAGGAGACUUUCACAGAUCAAAAGCAAGUGAAAAAUAAAGUUUUGAUGAUAAAUAAAAUCCUGGUUUACCGUCCUUGUUGCUCAAAUUGGGUCAUUCAAUACAUCAUUUUGGAGGAAUAAUUUGCCUAGUUUAAUUAAUAUCCGAAACAUUCUUUUCUGAAUAUUUAUUAUGUUUAUCUUGUGAUCAGUAAAAUGGAUGAGCUAGACAUGUUCUGUUAUCCUGUAAAAGUUAUUAUAUUCCACAAAAAGAUUUUUCUGUUCUACAAACAGGUAAAGUGAUAGAGUUUUACAUUGAGUUGAUAAAAGGAAUUGAACAAAUGCAAAAAAAAUCAGUUCUUGCUGGUAGCUGACUGGUGUACUGUUAGUGGAUCAGAUGUAUGAAGACUACAAUUAGAUAUGAUAUACUGAUUUUCCAAUUUUUCGUUUCCUCUUGCCCUGCUAGUUUUAGCUACUUUGAACUUCUUGGAUUUCAUGUUUGAGGUGCUAGUGUACAUAAUCAUAUAUCAAGUAAAAACAUCCAGUAAGUAGGAUCACUCAACUUAAUCAAUAAAGUUUUGAUGAUAAAUAAAAUCCUGGUUUACCAUCCUUGUUGCUCAAAUUGGGUCAUUCAAUACAUCAUUUUGGAGGAAUAAUUUGCCUAGUUUAAUUAAUAUCCGAAACAUUCUUUUCUGAAUAUUUAUUAUGUUUAUCUUGUGAUCAGUAAAAUGGAUGAGCUAGACAUGUUCUGUUAUCCUGUAAAAGUUAUUAUAUUCCACAAAAAGAUUUUUCUGUUCUACAAACAGGUAAAGUGAUAGAGUUUUACAUUGAGUUGAUAAAAGGAAUUGAACAAAUGCAAAAAAAAUCAGUUCUUGCUGGUAGCUGACUGGUGUACUGUUAGUGGAUCAGAUGUAUGAAGACUACAAUUAGAUAUGAUAUACUGAUUUUCCAAUUUUUCGUUUCCUCUUGCCCUGCUAGUUUUAGCUACUUUGAACUUCUUGGAUUUCAUGUUUGAGGUGCUAGUGUACAUAAUCAUAUAUCAAGUAAAAACAUCCAGUAAGUAGGAUCACUCAACUUAAUUCUACUGAACUAAUUGUUUUACUCUGUUUUUAUUGUUUGAACUUCUUGCAGAAAUUAGCUUCAAAGAAGCAUGACAUGGAUAAUGCGGGUCGGAAGUAUGAUUUUCGUGAGGUAUUAUUUGCUCUCCAUCUUUCCUUUACAUGAAUAUACUUCACAGAAGUAACUACAUGAACAACUUAACUAAAUUUUCAUGACUGUCCAGAAAAAUAAGUUAACUAUAAAGCACUUGUGGCUGACUUCCUUCUAGGACAUAACAAUUGAGUAGUUUUAAUUGAUUUAUUGGCUUCCUAACUGUUUCUCAUCUAGGGACCUCGGCGGUCUGUGAUUUUGUUGGAGGACAUGGAUACAUCUGAAUCAGAACAUUCUAGCACAGACAGUGCCGAUGAUGAUGACUGGGUAGAAUCAGGAAAAAGGCCAAGGAAGAAAAGGAAUUCCAAAGCUGGAGGUCAAUCACGUGUAGGUUCGGAUAUCAGUAGUUCAGAAAAUUUGAGAACGGAAAAUUCAGGAAUAUGUUGCUCUUGUAGUAAAUCAUCUUUUUGUAAACUAAAGAAAUGUGAGUGUCGUGCUGCUGGAGGCACUUGUAGGGACUCAUGCAGCUGUGCACCUAAUAAGUGCACUAACAGAGAAACAAUUAAGGUUGAGGAGUUGGAUGACUUCCUGCAAUCAGCGGUUGCUGAAGGCAUUGGGAACUUGUCAGGCAGUGAUGAUACACAGAAGUACCACGACCUUGCUUCUCAUGGUGCAAUGCUGCUCCAGAGUGCACUAGUUGAUGAGCCUGCUGAGGCAAAUGAUGAUUGUGAAUCCAAAAGGAAGCCUUUAUCCGAAAUUGGGAACAAAAUGGUAUGUUCCUUUCCUAUCUUGUCGCAUAAGGGGUUGAGAAGUUAUGUAAUUGCUGCUGAAUGUGAAAGACAUAAAUUUCCGCCCAUGCAAUAAGCAUGGCCGACACGUCUUAUUUUCCAGUACAUUUCUUAGGUCUAUUCCUAUUCCUUACCGCUUAUUUCUCCUAGUGUGCUAAUGGAAAAUUUAAAUGACUGUGCAGGCCAGAGCAAAGGCACCUAAGCCUAAUCCAAGAAAGAAAUGGCGAAAAUCAGUAAUUCAGCUAGUUUCUGUAGCCCCACCUUCGUCGCAGCCAGAGAAUACUGAAGCUCCCAAGAAGGCAGAGAACACUGCAGUUGAGGUAGACAUCCCUUUGAAGUUACCCAGGGCUAUGAGAUCGGCAGCAUCAAAUGGCAACCCCUUUAGAGUUAGAAAUUCUGAUCAGCCAGACGAAUCAGCAGCCAACAACAAGGAGACUGUCGCUUCUGCCUCAAGAAGUCCAGUCCGGCAGGCAAGAACAUUGGAUGAGAAAGAGAACUAUGGUCCUUAACUUAAAAAGAGCUGGUUCUUGUUCCUCAUCCUUGAAAUAAAUACUAACAGUCUGCUCAAGUUUCCGUGGUGUGCCCCCUCAAAAUGAAAAUUUCCUGGUGAAUUUAUAGGAGCAGAGAACGGGAUCUAACAGAAUGUGUAAGUUCUUGUGUCUUGUGAGGAUUGAUCAAUCCUCUAUAGAGGGGGGGUGGGGUUUUCCAUGAUAUGCCAAACAAUUAGAUCCCUGUGUAUAAGUGAACGUAAUCGACUUCGCUGACAACAGUUGAUCCUAAUGCUGUGCCUCGUCCAUUUUUGUUGCUCCGAAUGCUAUUAAAAUUCUCUCUGAUGUGCUUUCAGUGUGCCAUCUAAUAUCUUGGGGAAUUGUAAUUUGAGUUUUAUCUUCAUCUUGCAAUCGUAGAAAUCUGGUCUCAGCACCUUUGCGCUCUACUAAGCGUACGUUGUCAGUAGAAAAUCACUCUUCAUAAUAGUAAUCACACUAAAGAAAUAGAAAAUAAAACAAAAUAUAUAUAAGAUUUAUAGCGUUCCCUUUGCAUAAGAGUCUGUCUAGCCCACUUUACCUUCACAGAUUUUUUUCAUUAUUAUACCUAUGACGACAAAAAUGAUAAAUGUGAUUAGCAUUAUAACACUCAAACACAGCCUCAGAGUUCAUUUAAUGUUUAUUUAUACCUACAAAUUUUCAUUACGUGGCAUCGAUUUUUCAUUACAUGGCAUUAUAGCUAUUUUAAUGAUAAUUUUCACGCUUGAGAGAUGAUGAUUAAAUAUCAUAAAAAAUUAUAUAUGUUGAUUAGUAAAAUACAAAGGGUAUGAACAUCCUUAAUCCUUUUUCUAUUUAUUUUUUUGAAUAAUUAUUCAUAAAAACUUUAUUGGAUAUUAUUUCAUUUUAUGACUAUUUAUAAAAUAUAUUUUUCUCAUUAUUUUCAUAUUUGUAAUCGUGCGAAAAGAAAUUCUGAUUCCAAGUUGUUUAAGAAUAAUGACAUUUAACAACUCUACAUAUUAUCACCAUUUUUAAUAAGAAAAUGGUAAGAUACUGAAUCAAAUUCCGGAAAUAGUUGAUGUGUACAAACAAAGAGAGAAUAAGAUAUAAAGAAAUGCCAUCAAAGUUAAAAGAAAAUAAAAUUGAAAUACAAUUAAAUGGCAUUAAGUAUAAAUAAAUGGGCAAAUUUUGCCUCGUCAUCCCCGCUCUUAUGUUACCGUUGAAGCACCCAUUUUUUGAAAAAAUAUUAUUUGAUGUUUUUAUUUUUAUUUUAAAAAAUUUAAAAUGUGCCUCCACUGACGCGCUCAAUAUAAUUUGAACAAAGAAAAUAAUUGGUACAAAAAGAGGGGACAACAAAAGAAACAAAAAAAAUAUCUUCAAUCGUCGGAUCCCGCGAUUAGGGUUUUAAGAUUUGAUUUCGGUUUGUUAACUAAGAGAUUGAUAACACCAACAUUAGGUAAUAGCUGGAGAUGAAGAAGGCCAGUGAGAAGAGAGUUCAUGAAUUGGAACUGAAGAACAAAGCUUUACAGGUGUGAUUCUUAAUUGAAUCUGUUUGGUUGCUGAGAAAAUGUUACGAACGAAGAAAUCAGAGAUUUCGUUUCAUCGAAAACAUGAAAUUUAUGUUCUCUUAUUUUCCUAUGCUUUCUUGGCAACCAAAAGGAGGGAUAUUUUUUUUUGUUUUCUCAUCUGUUUUGUGAAAUGGCAGACGGAGGUGGAGGAGCUGAGGAACAGUCUCGCAAAUGUUUCUGUGGCCUCCGAUGAUGGCGUUCGAAAGAUAAAGGAAAAUUAUCUUCAGAAGUUGAACGACCUUGAAGAACAGGUUGAUCUCUCUUUCAACUACGAUGUGCUGUCUGAAAAGCAUUUUGAAAUUACAUUUUCCCGCUUUUAAAUGCGGGUUUUUUUUUUUUUUUUUCAUGCUUUGUAUAGCAAGAGAAUACUUUGAAAAUGCUAUCCAAAAGAUGCGGAUCUAUAAGCGGAUUCUGAUUUUAUAGGUUGGAGAGUUGAAGAAAAAACUAGAAGCUCAAUCUCAGUUACUAAUACAGAAACAAAAACAUGUCGAGGCCGCGAAGCAGUUACAUUAUGAGAUUCAGAGAAUAAAGGCUCAAAAAGUAUUAUUACGCAGUUGAUAAAAUGAGUAUAUGAUUUUGCUUUUGGCACUUGCUAUUAAUGCCAUUGUAUUUUAAUUUUUGAUCCUUUUUUCUAGGUUCAACUACAAUGGAGUAUGAAGAAACAGUCUGUGCAGUUCAGAUUAUGUAAGGCAGCAUUGGAAAAAGAAAUCCUCCAGGUUAUGCCUCUUUGACAUAUAUGUAAUUCCUGUAUUCAAGUUCUGCAUUUGCAAUUCUUCAUAUAAUGUGGGCAUUUGUUUUAUCAAAAAAUUUGAAUCAUGCCUAAGAUUGGCUUUGAUUUUAUUCUAUUUUUUCUCUUUCUUUUUUGAAGCAGUGUAUUUGAGCCAUAAAUAUGGUUUUCAUUUUAGGAUUAGGAAAAAAAAAAGA